rnacentral:lncRNA from 1 species
AUUGGCCGAGUGGGCCAAGAAAAUCCGGAAUAAGGUCCGUCAGGGGCAGGGAUAUCGUUGAUCAAGGUUGCAUAAUCGAAGCUAGACCAAUAAUUGGUGUUUUCAGGUGAUACCAUUCUCCACUGAAUUUGCUUUUAGCCGGAAGGGUUUGGUUUGAUUUCCGGCUUUUGGCAAAGAAAAUGGAGUUUCUGUUUGGCAAGAGAGAAAACUAAAAACAAAGGGCGGGACACAGAGGAUUGGUGGGAGGGGAUGGGCAUUAGCACCUUGGAACCCUUUUUUGGGCUUUAAAAGCCCAGUUGGCAACUUAGACCAAGUCUGAAGUUCCUUCGGGUAUGGAGUAUCAAAUCCGGAUGUAUAUCUCACACACAUUAUGCAUAUUCCAUUUAGUAGCUAUACUAUGAUUGAGUUGGUGUCACGUGUCGGUCGACAUUAACACUAACUCAGUUACAGAUAUUAUAUUUAUAUCUUAUCGUAUUUAUUUUAAAUUAUAUUAUUUGAGGAUAUUAUAAUUUUUUUAUUUAAAAAACAGAUAAAAAUAUACAUAUAGUGGUAUUUGGACCUAUGUAUCACUUAACUAAAGUUUUAUUUUGAUAUUUUUUAUACAUUUUAAUUUUAUUAUAUACACUUUAUUAUCUCCAUCAAUUGUAUAUAUUGAAAAUAUUGUUGAUUGAGUUGGUGCCAUAAGUUAACUCAACAUAACUCAAAAUUGAUGACAACACUAUGAUAAACAAUUGUAGUGCAUUUAGUAUUCUUAAUAUGAUGUAUUUACGUAUUUGAAUUAUGUUUUACUCGCAAUUUAAUCUAUCUCUUUUAAUUUUUAACAUCGUACAUAUUUCAUAUGUUAUUAUUUAAUUUCAAACCAUAUGUUUCAUUAUUUAUUGUAUAUUGUUAAACAAGUUUUAAAUAUAUAGUUUCCACACAUACGCAUUAAAUUUCCUACUAUAUUAUAACACAAUUAUAUUUUUUUCAUCCAAUAAAAUUCAAAGUCAAAGUCAAAGCUUUCAAUAGACGACAAAAUUUUAUUUAACAUUAUUUUCUUUAUUUAAUAAAAUCUUAGAAUGAAUUGUUAAAAAAAUCAAAAUCAAAAUUUUAUUUAAUCUUUAAGUGAUCACAAUUUAAAAUUUAAAAUAAAUUAUAUUAUCACUUUUUUAUCAAAUAAAUUAAAAAUAAAUAUUUUCUUUUUUUUUAUUUGAAUUUCAAGAUAUUUUAUUUCAAAAUAGAAAAAUUUGCAAUUUUUAAUGAAAAUUGUGAUUUUGAUGUUAGUUUAAUAAUCAGGUUUUGAUCUCUUAUUGUAAUUUUUUUCUCUUAAUGACUAAUUGAAAUACAUGAUUUUUGAAAAUUCUUUAUAUUAUUAUCGUGUAACAGCCUGUUUUUAAGUCAGAUCGAAAUAGUAGUUUCGAGACCACAAAAUCGAGUUAAAAUAUUUAUUUUAUUAUUUUAAUAAAUUUUGCUGCAUGAUAGAAUGAUAGUAUAAAAAUUUCGUUAAGAAAUUUUAAAGUUUAAAUGCUUAAUUCAGUAAAAAGGACUAAAUCGCAUAAAGCGUAAAAAUUGAGUUCUUUAGUUUAAAUGUUUUAAAUGGCUAUGGAAUUAAAAUGUACAAGUACUUAAAGGGUAAUUAGACCAUUCAUAAGGUGAGUGGACUUUCAUGGACAUUAAUGGCCUUAUACUUGAUGAUUUAAAUGGUUUAAUAACCAAGGGUAAAAUGGUUUAAUACCUAUGCUUUAAUUUUUGGAUUGGUUGAUGAAUUUGUGAGUUUUCAUUGAUGAUAGUUUGAUGUUUUUGUUGUUUGAUGAUGAAAAAUAAAUAUUUGAUGUUAGAUUAUUGUGUUUUAUGAAGUGAUUUUUGAUGAAAAUGCAAAUUAGGGAUUAAAUUGUGAAAUGUGUAAAUUGAGUAGUUGAAAUGUGAAAUAAAUGCAAGUUUUGGGCUGCUAGGGACCCCUAAUGAAUUCGGCUAAGCAUGGGUAUAUCGAAAUUUUGUGUAAUUUGUGAUUUUGUGAAAUAGGGAAUAAAUUGAACAAAUGUGAAAUUUAAGGGGCUAAAGUGCAAAAUUCCCAUUUAUGUGUUUUUGGAUGAAAUUGAAUGAAUAUGUUUUUAAAUAAUUUAAAUUUGAAUUGAUUUAGAUCAAGAAAGAAAGAAAUCGGAGUUAGAUCGGGGAAAGUCGAAAGUUAUCAAGUAAUCGAUCCGUUUCGCCAAUUUUGAUACGAGGUAAGUUCAUAAGUAAAUAAAUGUUUUUGAAAUUAAAUAUAAAUGUUUUAUACCUUGCUGAAAUUAAAUUGUACAUGGUUAUAUAUUUUCGAUAUUGAAUUGUUUAUGUAUAUAUGAUGCCGAAUUGGAUUUGUAUUUGAUUAUACAUUAUCAAACUUGAUUCGUGUAUGGCUAUACAUUGCCAAAUUGUUUGGUAUAUGGAUAUAAGUUGCUGAAUUGAUUCGUACAGGGUUGUACAUUGCUGAAAUUAAUUCAUACAUGGUUAUAUAUUGUCAAUAUUGAAUUGUUUAUGAAUAUAGGAUGCCGAAUUUGAUUUAUGUAUGAUUAUACAUUGCCGAACUUGAUUCGUGAAUGGUUAUACAUUGCCGAAUUGUUGGGUAUAUCAAUAUUCAUUGCUGAAUUGGAUUCGUAUAUGAAUAUAUAUUGUUGAAUUGAUUUGAGCAUUGGAUGACUGAUUUUGCGUAUGAAAUAAUUUAAUUAUGAAGUCGAUAGCUUUGAAUGAACCAUAGAAAAUGUAUUUGAAAUUGACGACAUGAUAAUAGGACUUCAAGAUGUGAUUUUUGUGUAGGACCAUGUCUGGGACAUUGGCAUCAAAGUAAGAAAACGUGUAAGACCUUUUCUGGGACAUUGGCAUCGUAUAUGAUUUGUAUAAGACCCUGUCUUGGACAGUGGCAUCAAAAUGCGUUAACAUGUAAGACCAUAUAAGGGAUAUGACAUUGUACGAGUUUUAUAAGAUUUCUAUGUGUUCUUAACAAAUCUAAAUGUGGUUUUAAACUGAAUGGUUCAGGUAUGUGUGAGUGUAUAUGUUUAUAAAAUAUAAAGGUAAGUUAGCACUUAAUGUAAUAAUAUGAGUUCAUAUGUGUUAUUUAAUUGUAUAUGUGUUUGUCAUAUGUUUGAGUUCAGCUUAGUUGAAUUGAAUUAUAAUUUUCAUUGAAAUGAUUUAUUUGCUUAUGACUUACUAAGCUUCCAAAGCUUACUUUGUGCAUUCUUCCACUGUUUUAUAGAUUAUCGAAGUUAGCUCAAAUUCAGGGAUCGUUGGGAAAAGUCAUCACACUAUCGAUCAUUUUGUUGGUACUUUUGAAGCUUUAUAUAUAUGACAUAUGGCAUGUAUAGGCUAGUGAACUAUUAGUGUAUUUUUGAAAUGUAAUUCUAGCCAUAUGAUUUGGCUUGGAAAUGAUGUAUAUGAUAGAAUUGUGUUUAGCAUGCUUAUUAUGAUAUGUGACGUUUUGAGGAUUAAAUGUUGGCAAAAAAAAAAAUGAAAAAAAAAUGAAUGAAACGAAAAUGAAUUGACUAUUUUGAUCUGUGUUUUAUCCGUAAUGCUUCGUAACCCUAAUUCGGUGACGGAUUCAGGCUAGGGGUUGUUACAUAUCGUUAAAAAAUGAAAUAUCAUAACACAACAAUUAUUUUAUUUAAUUAAGUUAUUAUAUUUUAAAAUAAGCUUAAAUAUUUAUUUAAUAUAUUUUAAUUUAUAGUCAGUGCUAGUGUGACGGUACAAUGAUUAAAAAAUAAUGGAAAAAAUAAAAACGAAGUUGAUGAAGAAUAAGAUCUAGAAUAACAUAUUAAAAAGUUUAAAAAGAAAGAAAAAAGGUGGAAAUUAGUAUUGGUGUACCAAAACAUUUUUUUUUUGAUAAAAUAGAAAUUUAAACUCACACAUUUAAAGAAUCAUACAGGCAUAGUUUAUGGAUUCAUCCCACAACUUUAAAAAUAAGAUAAAAAUUCUUGACUGAUAGACUGGUUUAAAGAAAACAAUAAUUUCUUAAACAAUAUAAUGUUUGUAGAAAAGGUUGAGCAAUUAAAUUAUUUUAACACUAAGCGCCAACAAAGAUAUCAAUCAAAUCUACCCAAGGAUCUACUAUAUAUUAAUUUAAGUUUCCUGAAAACCAUGCCAUUAUCAAAUAUCUCACUUUAUAUAUAACAUGCAUUUGUGGUUGAUGGACAUCAUUUUAUUCAAACAUCUCACUUUAUAUAUAACAUAGUAUUUAAGGUUGACGAUGUCUAUAAAUAGCAACUCCUAAAUGCAUUUGGAUCAUACAAAUCUCAGACAAAGAUGUCUUCUAAAAUGCCUGCAAACCUUGUACCAUCAAUGUCCAAGGAAAAUCGCCAUUUGGCCGAUUUUGUUCCUAGCUUUUGGGGGGAUAUUUUCCUCUCUACUCCUCCUGGAAUGGUAUGUUUCUACGUGUGAAAACCUCUUUGUAUGAGACUAGACAGACAUAUAUCUACCUCACUAGGACUUGGUCUGUCUAUUUAUUUAAUAGUGAUAUAAGGUAAAACUAUCAUGAAAGUUUAUAUGAUACGAGUUGGAUUUUUUACUUAAAAAAAUAGAUAAAUCAGUCAUUGUAUGUUAAAAAUUCUGUUUGUUUCCACUGUUAAGUGAUGAUGUGUCCCUAUUUGGUUGCUUGAAUUAAUCUCUCCAUGUCAAUAAUUCUAUUCAUUUCACUAUUUGUAAAAAAUUCUAUCUAUUUUGCUUGAAUUAGUCUUUUCACGUCAGCAUAAGAUACAUGUGGCCUGCCAUGCAUCACUAUCUCGCUAUUCCAUCAACCGCAUCAACACUUAAUAGUAAAAAUAAAUAAAAUUUUUAAUAGAAUGUCUAGUUUGUUCUUUGAUCUAACGUACAAGGACUAAUAUUACGUUUUUUAAUGUUUAUAUUAUAGUAGUAAUAUAUAUUACUAUAGAUUUAAUUUUUAUGUGUUAUAAAUUACAUAAUAUAUAAAAAUAACCUAACAUAUUACAAACUUUAAAAAAGGGCAUGGCCGAGUUGGGCUCAAGCUUGAACAUUUAAGGUCUGAGCUCGACCCAUAUUUUAAACGGAUCUAAUUUUUUUUUCCAAACUCUCUCAAUUUUUGGAUGGGCCUUAAGACUUGAUCGAGUAACUCAACCCGUGAAUAAAUCUAAUUAAUACUGAGUUUUAGUGAUGGUGGUAAAUCUGGGACAUGUUAGGUUUAGCUAGUGCCGGGGUUGUUUCGGUUAAGGUUUAGUGGAAGCUCUUGAUUAGUUCUUUUUAAUAUAUAUAUAUAUAUAUAUAUAUAUAUAUAUAAUUUGUUUUUAUAAAAUUAACCUGAAAUGGGUAGCAAAAUUGUUGACUGUUAGUCAUUGCAAUAUUGUGGGUGACAUUGAGAAAUAAAACACCCACAAAGGUUAGAGUUGAAUUUUGCAACUCUCUCAUCUCUAUUCUCAUUCUAAUAUGAUGGACGCAUGAAAAUGUAUACUUUAAAUUUAAUUGAAAACUUUUCACACUUAAAUAGGAUAUGGAUGCCAGAACCCAACAAGAGUAUGAAGAAUUGAAGCAGAAAGUGAGGAGAAUGUUGGUGGCAAAUAUGGACAAACCAUCCCAAAAAUUACACAUAAUUGAUGCAGUCAAACGCUUAGGUGUAGCUUACCAUUUUGAGAAAGAGAUAGAAGAUGCCUUAGAAGUUAUAUAUGAUCAUUACUGCAAUCAUAUUCAGAUUGAUGAUGAUGAAGAUCUCUACACUACUGCUGUUCGAUUUCGUUUGCUAAGAGAGCAUGGCUUCAAUGUUCAGUGCGGUAUGCUUUAAUUUAUUAUAUAUAUAAUCAUAAAAAGUUCAUACAUGCAACUAUAUUUAAGAGGUGAAAUCCAAUAAAUUUAAAGUUGGAAUACUUGCUUUUAUGUUUUUCUCAGUUUUGAUGACUUCAUUUAGGAAAGUAAUGUUUCAAAUUUGAUUGGAUUGAGCAGAGACCUUCAACAAGUUCAAAAAUGAGAAAGGAAAGUUCAAAGAAUCCUUAAUUAGUGAUGUGAAAGGCAUGCUAGAAUUGUAUGAAGCUGCACAUUUUCAACUACACGAGGAAAAUCUAUUAGAAGAAGCUCUUUCUUUCACCACUUUUCAUCUAAAGUUGGCAGAAACUACGGGGGACUAUCCUCUCUCCACACAGAUUGCUAAUGCUCUAAAGCGACCCCUUCUUAAGAGCUUACCAAGGUUGGUUGCUUGGAGUUACAUUUCCAUAUAUGAAGGAUAUGGUACCCAAGACAAAAAUUUAAUGAAAUUUGCAAAGUUAGAUUUCAAAAUGGUACAACAUUUGCACAUGAAGGAAAUAAGUGAGAUAUACAGGUAAUCUAUAGUGCCACAAGGUUUUCAUCCAAAUAAGAACCUUUUAUACACAGGUUUAUAAAUAAUAUAUAUUUAUUCUUAUUUUAGGUGGUGGAAAGGUUUAGAUGUUGAAACCAAUUUUCCCUUUAUACGAGACAGAUUGGUGGAAUGUUACUUAUGGAUAUUGGGAGUAUACUUUGAACCUCAUUACUCUGUUGCUAGAACUUUCAUGACCAAAGUAAUAUCGUUGACAUCAAUUGUGGAUGAUACUUAUGAUGCAUAUGCCACAUAUGAAGAACUUGAAAUAUUUACAAAAGCAAUCCAAAGGUAAUUAAACAGACAAAGGUAAAAUUUUUUUGAUUGAAUUAUAGAGAGAGAUAGCCAUUUGAAUUGAUGACAUAUUGUAGGUGGGAUAUCAAUUGCCCUGAUCAACUUCCAGACUGCAUGAAAUUGUGCUAUAGUGAGCUCUUAAAAAUUUUUAAAGAUAUGGAAGACUUGAUGUCCGGACAAGGAAAAUCAUAUCGUGUCCAACUCGCAAAAGAAGCGGUAUAUAUGAUCAAACAUUCUUAAUUUGUAACUUCAAUAAACUAAAUUAAUUGGUGUUUGCUAACUUCUUUAUUUGUUUGUUUGUCAAUAGAUGAAACAAGUAUGUCAAGCCUACUUUGUUGAGGCCAAAUGGCUGCAUGAACAUUAUAUGCCAACGGUGGAGGAGUAUUUGUCUGUUGCAUUUGUUUCUACUUGUUAUCCAAUGCUUACAAUUGUAUCCUUUGUCGGCAUGGAGGAUAGCAUAACGAAGGAGACAUUCACUUGGGCAUUUAAUACACCAAAGAUUCUUCGAGCUUCAACAAUUAUUUGUAGGCUGAUGGAUGAUGUUGUUAGCCAUCAGGUAUAUCAUUUAUUUUCAUCAUUGUAGUGUUCGGGUUGAUUUCGAUUCGAUUUUUUUAAAACAUUUAUUUAAAACUUAUAUUUAUUGCAGUUUGAGCAAGAGAGAGAACAUGUUCCUUCGGCUGUGGAGUGUUACACGAAACAAUAUGGGGUAUCAGCACAAGAGGCAUACGAUGAGUUCUACAAGCGAAUAAACAAUGCUUGGAAGGAUAUGAACGAAGCGUUCUUGAAACCAACGGUGGUGCCGACAUCGGCUCUUAAUCGAAUUCUCAACCUUACUAGGGUUAUAGAUCUACUUUACAAGGAUGAAGAUGCUUAUACGCGUGUUGGUGAUUCAGCAAAAACUAGCAUCACUGCCCUGUUGAUUGAUCCAAUCUCAAUUUGAUUCAGGGAUUUAAAAGUUUGAAUAAACCCAAAAUCACUUUCGAAAAGUGGUAUCCGUGUGAAAUUUAGUCUCUUAUUAUCGGGUUGUCACCUCAUAUGUAAAAAAAAUAAUGUUCUGCUUGGCAACCUUUUCCUACGUUUGAGUGCUUCAAGUUUAGUUUGAGUUGUUUAGGUGUUGACUAUGUUUUCUAUUGUAUUAAUAAAACUUUAUGCCGAAAUGAUGUUGUUUGAAAUUGUGUGAUUAGAAUCCUGUCAUUUAUUAAAAAAAUAAAUAUAGUGGCAAAAUAAGAAGAUUUGUGGGGUGAAAGGCCGAUCGUUCUUAUUGCUUUGCAAUCGUUCUACCGUCAUUAUCAACGUUUAUUAUAACAAAUAUGGUAGACAAUUUUUUUGGGAAUGUCCUCGGAUGGAAUAAUCAAUGUGAUAAUAAUAUCAGUAUAGAUGAUGUGAAUUCCCUUGAAGAUGGCAACAGCUAGAACUUUUUAAAGUAAACGCUCAUAAAGGACAAAUCUGUAUAAACUAAGUAAUAUCAUCGAACACCAAUCGGUGGAUGAAAUUCGGGUAGUCCAGAUUGAAAUCAAGAACAUCAUUCCCAUGCUUCAAUCAAUGUGUCAAACAAUGGGCAACAUGAUUAGCUUAUCUAUGGGUAAAAAAAAACUAAAAUCAACGAAGGACUCACAAGAACCUAAGGUCUCCCUAACAAUACAACCAUAGAAAGAUAAAUCUAGAGUUAAAUUAUUAAUUUUGUUUAUAAUAAAAGCACAAAUUAGAACAGCUGUAGAAAAAUCUUCUGGAGGGCCUUUUAACUGACGUACGACAUAGCAAAGCCUCAACAAAUGGUGAAAAGGUAAAGAAUAAAAGUACAAUUGUCUAUUAAAAUUAGUAAAAAUUCGAUAGAGAACUUAAUUUAUAGAUCUGUCAUAUUAGAUUAUCAAGAAAAAAAGUUAGAGGUGAAAGUAUAUUUGAAUCCAUUGAUAUAUUAAAAAGUUUGAAAAUUUCAAAUUAGAUCGUAAUUUUUAGACAAGGCGACCAUCUCUCUUCUUUGAAGAUAGAUGUGAAAAAAGUUAGGUUAUGCGUAAUGUGGAAACCAUAACUAUAUAACAGGUAACCUUAAUUUUUUUGAAAAAUGUUUUUCAAAAGUUUGAUAGUUAUUAUUAUCAAAAAGUGUAUUUGAGAAGAUAAAAUGUCUAUUUUAGACUUGAUGCUAUAAAGUAAAAAAUAUGUAUUUAAAUUUAUUAAUAUAUAAUAUAUGGAACAUAUAAACUUAAAUUAUAAUUAAAAGUUAAAAAUAGUUUAUUAAGUAAAUAAUAUUAUGAUAUAUGGAAUACAUGUAACAUAUAAACUCAAAUUCAUUAUUAUUAUGGUAUAUGAAAUAUAUAAGCUUAAAUUACAAUAAAAAUUUAAAUGUAAAAUAUCUUUUUAAAUAUAAACAACCAUUAGUCCAAAUCCAUUUUGAAUAUAGUUUUUUAAAAUUAUAAUGUAAUUUAAAAAUUUUAAAAACUAUUUUUUAAAAAAUUAUGGCUUAUCAUAAUAAAAAAUUCGAUUUAAAAAAUAGCGUUUGUAGGCACAAUGUAAGUUUUUUUUUGUUUUUUUAGAAUCAAGCCUUGGUAAAGUUUUUGUGUUAUUAUUUCAGACAUUUUUGAAUUCUCAAGUGCAGUAGAGGGUUAAGGAUUAAAUGAAAUUGGGAUACCAUCAAAUUUGUAUCCUUUUUCAAUAAUUAAUGUCAUUUUAAUAUUUUCAUUACGAAAGAAAUCAAAUUCAAAAUAAUGUGUCAACUUUUUAAAUGAAAAUACUAAAAUAACAUUAAAUUAUUGAAAAGAGAUACAAGUUUGAUGGUAUCCCAAUUUUAUUUAAUCCUUGAUUGAUAUGGGAUUUGAAUCUUGACAUUUGCAACUCUUUGCCAAUUCCAAGCAGAGAUUUUCUCCAUAAAGAAAAAAAACCAUUUGUUUCGGUAUGCGAACUAUGACUCAUUAUACCUAUAUUUAUAAUUAACUUAACGAUUUUUUAUAUGGGAAUUAUAUAUUUUUGUUUGCUACUAAAUUCUAUUGUUUUUUUAUAGUCAAGCAAUUAUUACACAUUAUUAUUUAUAUUUAGUUAAUUACUACUAUAAUUUUUCUCCACAUAUAAUUACCUUUUUUCUUAAAUAUAUAUAUUAUUUAAUCGAAGCUUGUUUGAAAUAAUGAUUAGAAUUUUUAUCUGACACUUUGAUAGUACGAGUUUAAACUCUAUCAUCUCUCUACUUCCUCAUGGUGUAAUGGUAAGAAAAUUACUAUUUCUAAAAUAAUGUAUGAUUAGAAAGGCUCAAAUGCUCGAUGAUGAAGAAAAGAAUAAAUAGUGUUGACACCAUUUUUUUGAUUGAAAAAACGGGGUCGACUUGGGUUUUGAAAAACAAAAACGGGAGUCGCCACCAAUCCUUUUUUGAUAAGGUGUGAUCGGAUCACCUUGAAAAGUGGUUGUUUUAAUAAAUAAUUUAAUUUUAUUAAAACAACGAUUUUGGUCCACGAAAUUCAGAAAAACGGGUUCGGGAGUCGGUUACGCACGAGGAAAGAUUAGCACCCUCGAUACGCCCAAAAUUGGUACCUAGUUGAUUACUUAAUGUCUUAAUGUCGAAAAUUGAAAACUUUAAAGAAAUUUAAAAUACGAUCCUUUAAAAAAACUAGAAUGGCAUGGAUUAAAAUUCAAGAGGAUAUUUGGCAAUUUGGUUUAAACGAGAAAUCGAAAUCCAGUACCUUAGGACACAUCCCUCGAAUUUCCAAACGCAAAACAUUGCCUUAUUUCGAAUUUAAAAAAAAAGAAGGAUAUUUAGCCAUUUGGUUGAACGAGAAAAAUCGACACCCAGCACCUUAGGGCACGUUCUCUCGAAUUUUCCAAACGCAAAACAUUGCCUUAUUUCGAAAAUUUUUAAAAUGAUGUUUGGCUAUUCGGUUAAAUAAGAAAAAUCGACACCCAGCACCUUAGGGCACGUUUUCUCGAAUUUCCCAAACGCAAAACAUUGCCUUAUUUUAAAAUUAUUUUUAAAUUUUUUUUUAAAGGAUAUUAAGCCAUUUGGUUAAGCGAGAAAAAUCGACACCCAGCACCUUAGGGCACGUUUUCUCGAAUUUCCCAAACGCAAAACAUUGCCUUAUUUUAAAAUUAUUUUAAAAUUUUUUAAAGGAUAUUAAGCCAUUUGGUUAAGCGAGAAAAAUCGACACCCAGCACCUUAGGGCACGUUUUCUCGAAUUUCCAAACGCUAAGUAUUGCCUCAAUUUGAAAUAUUUUCCUUUUUUGAAAUAUGAUAUUUAUAUGCAUAAUGGAAUAAUAAACAUGAUAAUGUGAAUAUAAAAAAAUGAACAAAAACGAAUAAUAAAAUAAAUCAAUCAUACAUAUUCCAUAGCAAAUAAAUAAAUAAAUAAAACUAAAGCAUAAACAUGGACAUGUGAAUAAGUACAUAAAUGAACAUAAAAAAAAUGAAAGUACAUGAAAAUUAUAAAAUAUAUAAAAAAAUAUAUGUGUGCAUAUAAGGGAAAUAUACAUGUAUGUAUAUACAUAAAAUUACGGAAAUAUGAAAAAUAUAUGUAUAUAUGUAUUUUAAAAUUAUUAUAUAAAAUAUAUAUAAGUAAGCAUGUACAUCUAUACAUAUGUAACUAUCAUAAAAAAGUAUAUAUAUAUAUAAAAUAUAAAAAGUAUAUAUAUAAGUAUAUAUAUGAAUCAUAAAAAUAUAAAGAACAUAUAUAAAAUACGUAUUUAAAAUAUGAAGAAUAUGUAAGUACAUAUAUAUAUAUUUAUGAAAGUAAAGUAUAUAGAUAUGUAUAAAAAUUGUGAAAUAUAAAUAUAUAUAUAUAGGUACGUAUAUGCAUAUUACAUAUGUAUAUCAUAAAAUCACAUAUAUGUAUAUAAAUAUAAGUAAUUAAAAUAAUAAUACUAUAAUAAGAUAAACAUAUAAAAAAAUUUAACAUAAAUAAGUGUAAAUGGAAAUACGAUGAUAAUAAAAAUAAUAUUAAAUAAUAAUAAUAAUAAUAAUAAUAAUAAUAAUAAUAAUAAUACUAAUGAACAAAAUAAUAAAAAUGCUACAAAAGGGCUUAAAUUAAAGUAAAAGUAAAAAUACUGGGCGAAUUCGAAAUAAAUAAAAACAGAAAGGACUAGAUUGUGACAUGCGCCAAAAGAGGGGGGACCAAAACAGUAAAUAUCCCAAAACACUGCGCUUUGAUGGGGACCAAAAUGAAUCAAAAUAAAAUUAUGUAGCAAAAUUAAAAAAAACAAAAGGGAUUGGAUUAAGCUAUGCCGCAAAUGCGGAGGGGCCUAUUGCGCAAAUAGCCCCUCCGACGAAAACACGCGGAUCCUUGGGUGCGGGUCGGGUCGGAUCGCGGGCCGGCCUCCUAAACGGCGUUGUUUUGGGCGUUCUGGGGCUAGGCCAAAACGGUGCCGUUUUGUACCCCUAUAAAUUUUAAAAAAUUUUCAAAAAAUUCAUUCCUUCCUUGUUUUCCAAAAAAAAAAAUUCCAAACUCUCUCUCAACUCCCCCUUUCUUUCCCAGAAACUGGCCAUCAGUCCGGCCUUUGGCCGCCGCGUCGGUCACCGGCGCCGCCGUGCACGGCGGCGGGGAGGCCAAAAGUCUCCCCUUUUUUUUCACCGAAUCGUCUCUUCGUUCCCCUAAUCGCUCCGGUGUCGGUAAAACAAGGUAAAGAUGCCUCAUUUCUUCUUUUUUGUUUAAUAUUUUGAAAUAAAAAAAAAUCAAGAAAAAAAAGAAAAAAAGAAAAAAACCUUCAAUCUUUUCUUUCUUCUGAACCGUUCUUUUUUAUUACAAUGGUUUUUAAUCGAUUUUACACUGAUUUCCAAAAACAAAGUCCCCCCUUCAAUCUGUUUUUCAUCGGUUUUUAUACCGAAUAUAUAAAAAAAAUAAAGCCCCAUGUUGCUUGCUGUUGUGGUUUUUCUUUAUUGUUUGCAGGUGGAGUAGGUGGCGGUAGGAUAGUGGCGGUGGUGGCAGUGGAGGCGGCGCCGAAGUCGGAAGGGUUGGUGGCGACAGUACUAGGGUUUCAGAAAAGCUGAAACCCUAGUUUGACUGUUGAGGUUGGUGAGUUGGGCCAUUCGGGUUUUGGGCUUUGCCUUUGGGCUGGUCCAUUUAAUUGGCCGUUUGUGUUGAGGUUAAAAUGGGCCUGUACAAAUAGAUUUUAGAUGUGUGCCUAUAAAUGCAUGCAACUUAGAAAAACAUUUGGAUCGCACAAAUCUCAAAUAGCUUUUAGCUCACAACAAAGAAAAAAUGUCUUCUUAAAAAUCUGCAAAUCUUGUUGCAACUCAAGAUAAUAAAAUGUCAAAGGAAAAUCGCCAUUUCGCCGAUUUUAAUCCCAACUUUUGCGGAGACAUUUUCCUCUCUUCUCUUGCUGAAAUUGUAUGUUUCUUAUAUGUGAAUAUCUUAUGUUUAUUUGUGUCAUGUAUUUCAUACAUAGAUUUUAAAGAGUAAAAGUAUAAUGAGGUUUCUGUAUUAAGAUUCAGAUCUCAUUUUUUCCCCUUUAAUUAAAAAAUAGGUAAAUUAUUUCUUGUAUAUUAGAUUAAAGAGCAAAUUGGUUAUUUCACAUUAAAAAUUAUCUAUUUUUAUGUUAAAAACUGCCGUAGUUGACAAAACAACCAACACUUAUGUCACAUAUACUUCAUUCUGAUGUAUAGGGAUCAAUUUUUAAUAGUAAAAAUGGAUAAAUUUGUUAAUAGAAGGACCGAUUUGCUCUUUAAUCUAACGUAUAGGGACUGAUUUGCCCAUUUUAAGUACAGGGUGCAAAAUGAAAUCUCACUCCUAGUACAAGGGCCUCCAUGAUACUUUUACCAUUUUAAAGGUUUUUAUAUAUAUAUUUGAAAGAUUAUAUAUUCUUUCAAAAGAAAAUUAUAUAUUUAUUUUCAUUUCAUUCUGUAUUUGACAUAAAUGUUAGAUAAAAAAAAUUGAAAAUGUUGAGUAACACUAUAUGAAAUUGAUUAUAAGUAUAGCCUUAAAAUACAUUUAAUAAUGUGAUUCUUAGAAUGAAUUGAAAGCGUUUCAAACAUGAACAGAAUACAGAUGCUAAAGCUCAUCUACAAUACGAAGAAUUGAAGCAACAAGUGAGGAGGAUGUUGGUGAUAAGUACUGAUAAACCUUACCAAAAUUUGGACAUAAUUGAUGCAAUCCAACGUUUAGGUGUGGCUUAUCAUUUUGAGAAUGAGAUAGUGUCACGGACUUAGAGCUUUCCCACGGAUCCGUGCGGCCUUAGGCAAUUUCUUUGCUUAAAAACGCCUAAGUCAGCCUAACUUGCAAUGAUAAAAGAUUCAACAGUAAAAAAGCCUAAGUCAGCUUAACUCACAAUGAUAAAGGAUUCAACAGAAUUCCCUUAAGGUUUACACGAAGAACAGCAGAAGAACGAAGUAAGAACGAGCCUUGAAAGAUGAACAAAAGCAAGAAUACUUGAGAGAAAAGUUUGAGUGAAUACUCUCAAAAUUCUUAUUAACAACUGAAUGAAUUACAAUGAGCAAAAAGGUCUCUAUUUAUAGUUGAGCCUCCCUAAAAUCAACGGUGUAGAUUAAAGUACAUCAAUGGCUACAGUUAAAAGCUGAAUACAAUUAGAACUCUAAGCUUACAUAAUAAGCUAUAUACAAUUAGAACUCUAAGAUUCCAUAAUUAUAUCUUCUAGAUCACUUCCCGUUUUUACCAGGCUCUUGAGGUGGGCUUUUAAUCUCUCCAAACAGCGGGCCAGUGUGAUUGGGCCAAGUGACCUCCCUCAAAUACGAUGGUUCGUACAAGUUUGUCAUGGUUGCGUGCUCCAAUGCGCAACCCAUGACAUUCUCCCCCACUUGUUCUAGCGACGCCCUUGUCACAUCCUCCUUAUGGAACUGGUCAAUCUUUUCUUGGAACUGCCAUAAUGCCUCGACAGGUUCCCAACUUGCUUCACUAUCAGGAAGUCCCUUCCAUCGAACUAAGUACUCAUGCCGUGGUCGGUGGUACUUUUGUCUAAUUACUCGAUCUGCCUCAUUGUUUUUGACUUCAUGAUCGUAUGACACCUUUACCCCCAUCGGUGCUCGUUCAGACUUGCCUCGAUUUGGAUCCUCUUGAUCCCCAUGAAACGGCUUAAGCAUGCUUACAUGGAAAACUGGGUGGACUUUAUGUUUUGCUGGCAACCAGUUUGUAGGCCACCUUGCCUACUCUCUUCACAACUUUAAACGAACCUUCAUACCUUCGCACAAGACCCUUGUGCAAGCCAGUAUAUCGUAAAAUCAAGUGUAGUUUAGCAAGGACAGAGUCACCCACUUGAAAUUGCACAUCCCUUCGGUUCUGAUCGGCCCACUUCUUGCUACGCUUACUUGCCUUGUGUAAAAAAGCUCUAGCCAAGUCAUUCUUUUCUUGCCAAUCUUUUGCGAAUCGAUAGGCUGCGGGAUUUGGUCCUGUAUAAUGGGUCACAACAGCGUUGAGUGUGAGUGGCUGUUGACCCGUCACUAUUUCAAAUGGACUUUGAUUUGUGGCCCCACUUCGCUGCAAGUUAUAUGAAAAUUGGGCCACAUCCAACAACUUUGGCCAAUCCUUUUGUGUGGCACUCACAUAGUGUCGAAGAUACGUCUCCAACAAUGCAUUUACUCGUUCAGUUUGCCCAUCGGUUUGUGGAUGCAUGCUCGUGGAGAAAUUCAAAUCUGAGCCCAUUGACUUGAACAACUCCGUCCAGAAUCGACCCGUGAAUCGUCCAUUUCGAUCACUGAUAAUAGACAGUGGCACUCCCCAAUAUUUCACCACAUGUCUAAGGAACAACCGAGCUGCUUCCUCAGCAGGGCACUCAUUGGUCACUGGAAUAAAUGUCGCAUAUUUUGAACACCUAUCCACCACAACCAAAAUACUCGCGAACCCGUCAGACUUAGGCAAACCAAUAAUAAAAUCCAUGGAUAAACUCUCCCAUGGCCUUUCCGGAACUGGCAAAGGUUGAAGCAAACCGGCUGGAGUCUUUAACUCAACCUUGUCUUGUUGGCACACUAGACAAGUUUUCACAUAAGUGUCCACAUCAGCACACAUGUGAGGCCAAUAAUAUCGAUCCUCCAAAAGGGCCAAAGUGCGAUGCAUCCCUGGAUGACCCGCCCAUUUCGAGUCAUGACACUCUUUCAUGACUUCUUUACGGAGUUUCCCAUAAUAGGGCACAUAGAGGCGGUGUCCAUGAGUGUAUAACAGCUCCCCAUCAAGCCAAAAUCUUCUCGUUUUUCCCUCUUUGGCAAGCUCACUCAAAUUUUUGGCCGUGGGAUCAUGGGACAAUCCCUUUCAAAUGCGUUCCAGCAAAGAACCCUCAGGUUGACUAAUUGCUGCAAAUUCCAUCUUUCGACUGAGUGCAUCAGCCACAAUGUUGGCAUUUCCUGGUUUAUAUUCCAUUGUAAAAUCAAACUCCGCUAGUAAAACCUGCCAACGAGCCUGCUUGGGAGACAACUUUUUCUGUGUUAGAAAAUAACUAUUGGCAACGUUAUCGGUGAGGACCACGAACCUGGAACCCAAUAGAUAAUGUCUCCAUGUGCGCAAGCAGUGUACUACCGCAGUCAUCUCCUUCUCUUGGAUCGUAUAUCUACGCUCUGUCUCAUUAAGCUUUCGACUCUCGAAAGCAAUUAGGUGCCCAUCUUGCAUCAGUACUCCCCCAAUAGCAUAAUCUGAUGCGUCCGUGCGUACCUCAUAAGGCUUCGAAAAAUCUGGCAAGGCAAGUACCGGCUCUCUUGUCAUUUCUUGCUUCAAUUGAUUAAAAGCCUUCUCACAUUCCGGAUUCCAAUCCCAUACCUUCCCCUUUUUUAACAUGUCCGUCAAGGGAGUGGUAAUUCUGGAGUAGCUUUUGACAAAGCGUCGAUAGUAAUUUGCCAACCCAAGGAAAGAUAUCAACUCCGUUACCUUGGUUGGAGACUCCCACUCUGAAAUGGCUCGAACCUUGCUCUUAUCCAUUCGGAUCUUACCACUUCCCACAAUGUGGCCUAGGAAUGACACCUUUUGUUGGGCAAAUGAGCAUUUCUCCUCCUUAAUGAAUAGCUCAUUUUCCCUCAAAGUUUGGAACACCUCCCUCAAGUGUCCUAUGUGCUCUUCAAGAGACUUGCUAUACACCACAAUAUCGUCAAGGUAAACAACCACAAAACGAUCAAGGAAGGGUUGAAGUACCUUAUUCAUUAGGGUGCAGAAUGUAGCUGGGGCAUUCAUGAGUCUGAAAGGCAUCACAAGGAACUCAUACGAACCAUACCGUGUCACACAAGCUGUCUUUGGUUCGUCCCUUUCGGCUAUCCAAACUUGAUGAUACCCCGAUCUCAAAUCUAACUUGGUAAACCAUCUUGCACUACUAAGCUGAUCAAACAAAUCUGCAAUAAGAGGAAUAGGGUACCUAUUCUUCAUAGUGAUCUUGUUUAGAGCUCGAUAAUCGAUGCACAUUCUCAAGGACCCAUCAUGUUUCUUUUGGAACAACACUGGCACACCAUAUGGGGAUUUAGAUGGUCUAAUGAAUCCCGCAUCCAAAAGUUCCUUCAAUUGUUUCCGCAACUCUUCUAAUUCUGGCAGAGACAUACGAUAGGGGCCCUUGCUGGCGGCACCACAUUGGACAUUAACUCGAUUUUGUGGUCUACCUCCCUCUUGGGUGGUAAACUUUUAGGCAACUGUGCAGGCAUUACAUCUCGGAAUGAUUGCAACAAUUGACCCACUUCUUUCGGGGUCUCACUAACAGACUCAGCGGUCCCUUCGAUCUUCAAGGUGGCUAGAUAUGAAACUUCAUUUCUACGUACACCUUUAGCAAACUGAAUUGCUGACAGUGUUUUUCCCUCAAGGCUUCUUUUCCUUAUCACUUUCACCAUGCAUUGAUGUUUCGCGUCUGAAAUCACCAUGUAAUUGCUCGAAGGGGCAAUAAGAGCAUUAACCUGAUUAAGGAAGCUUAGUCCCACCACAAAAUCAUAAUCAUCAAGUGGUAUUACCUUAAUGGAUACCUUCCCGGACCAUUUACCGAGCUGAAGAUGCACUCCCUUUGCAACCCCCUUGAUUGGAACACUUUCUGAGUUUACUGUUUUGAUCCGACCCACUUCAUUAUCUAUCUUGAGGCGCAAUUUACAAGCAGCCUCCUCGGACAUGAACAAAUCAGAAGCCCCUGUGUCAACAAGUGCAUUCAAUUUUCUGCCAGCCACAAUGAUGUCUACAAACAUCAACCCAUGGCUCAUUCUAUCUUCGACACCUCCUAGUAUCGAACCAAGAUUGUUGUCCUCCACAUCGGACUCCCCCUUUGCUACCAUAGCCGUGAGAGCGGCCUUCUUUGGGAAAUCCUUAAUCAUAUGUGGACCAUCACAGUGAAAGCAUCUUAUAGGCCCACUCUUUCUCUUGUCCCAAGGCUUCUUGCCAUUGUCGUUCCUAGUGAGCUUUUCUUUAUCUCCCCCACUGUUACCCUUUUUAUUAAAUCUGGGCUUAAAAGAAUUGGGAUUGUCUUUCUUCCCACCAAAUUCAGCAAGCGAUUCUGCUACGGACAUAGCCUUGGUGAGUUCUUGAACUCCUCGACGUUGCAACUCUUGCUUCGCCCACGAUUUUAAUCAGUCCAUGAAGGAAAAGAAUGCCUCUUUCUCCCCCAUAUCUGAGAUUUAGAGCAUAAGUUCACUAAACUCCUGCACAUACUCCCUCACAGUGCCUUGUUGCGCAAGCCGACGCAACUUUGCCCGAGCCUCAUCCUCGGCAUACUCUGGGUAAAACUGUGCUUUGAACUCACAUUGAAACUCCUCCCAUGUUCCGAUUUCGGUCCCACCACGUCUCACAUCAGUGGACCGGCGACGCCACCACAACAAAGCAACGUCAGAUAAAUACAUCGUAGCAGUAGUUACCUUAGUGACAUCCUCCGUGAUGCCUUUGGCACAGAAGUAUUGCUCGAUUCCCCACAAAAAGUUAUCCACAUCUCUUGCGGACCUUGUUCCCUUGAACUCCUUGGGCUUGGAAACAUCAAUAUUGGGCUUGGGUGAGACAGCCGCUAACCCACCAUUGCCCAAAGCAGCCUUGUAGAUUAUGAGUUCACCCUUGAGCUCCGCAAUCUCUCCCUUCAAGGCCGCCACCAUAGCCUCAAUGGCAUCAUCUCUACCAGUUAACUGUUCCACAUUAUCCGUCACAUACACUUUGAGCUGCUCCUGCAUGGACUGCAAUCCAUCAUGGAGUCUAUCAUCGACAUCAUCAAUCCUUUCCUUGGUAUCCCCCACGAAAUUCUCGAGAGUGACGACAUGAUCUUCUAAAGCUAACAAUAUGUCCCUUGAGCGACUGGCUUUCCUAGCCCUCCCACGGGUCUCCACCCCCUCAACUUCUUUCUACAUCUUUCAACGGUGGCUUCGAACCUGGCUCGGAUACCAACUGUCACGGACUUAGAGCUUUCCCACAGAUCCGUGCGGCCUUAGGCAAUUUCUUUGCUUAAAAACGCCUAAGUCAGCCUAACUUGCAAUGAUAAAAGAUUCAACAGUAAAAACGCCUAAGUCAGCUUAACUCGCAAUGAUAAAGGAUUCAACAGAAUUCCCUUAAGGUUUCCACGAAGAACAACAGAAGAACGAAGUAAGAACGAGCCUUGAAAGAUGAACAAAAGCAAGAACACUUGAGAGAAAAGUUUGAGUGAAUACUCUCAAAAUUCUUAUUAACAACUGAAUGAAUUACAAUAAGCAAAGAGGUCUCUAUUUAUAGUUGAGCCUCCCUAAAAUCAACGGUGUAGAUUAAAGUACAUCAAUGGCUACAGUUAAAAGCUGAAUACAAUUAGAACUCUAAGCUUACAUAAUAAGCUAUAUACAAUUAGAACUCUAAGAUUCCAUAAUUAUAUCUUCUAGAUCACUUCCCGUUUUUACCAGGCUCUUGAGGUGGGCUUUUAAUCUCUCCAAGCAGCGGGCCAGUGUGAUUGGGCCAAGUGACCUCCCUCAAAUACGAUGGUUCGCACAAGUUUGUCAUGGUUGCGUGCUCCCAUGCGCAACCCAUGACAAUAGAACAUGCUUUACAUAUUAUAUAUCAUCAUCACUGCAAUAAUGCUCAGAUUGAUGAUGACCUAUACACUGCUUCUGUUCGAUUUCGUCUACUGAGAGAGCAUGGCUGCAAUGUUUUGUGGUAUGCCUUAAUUUGUUACAAGCAGUAUAUAUAUAUAUUAAUAAAAAGAGUGCCCUAGAUAGAUAUUAUAAAAAUAUUUAAUAGAUUAAAAGUUUAUAUAAAUGAUAAAUACCAUUAUAUUGAUAAAUUCAAUGAUUUAAUCUAUAUAAUUUAAGUAAAAACUAAUUAAGAAAAAGUUUACAAUCUAGAAUAUCGAAAGAGGUUGCAAAUCUUUGGGAUUCAGACUCAUUACUUCUUCUCCUUUUUUAUGUUUUCAAAUUGUGACUUCCUUUAUACCAAAGGAAAAUAAUAUUUAAAAUUUAUUUGGUGAUUGAGCAGAGACGUUCAAUAAGUUCAUUGAUGAGAAAGGGGAAUUUAAAGAAUCCUUAAUCAGUGAUGUGAAAGGCAUGCUAGAAUUGUAUAAAGCUGCACACUUUCAACUGCAUGGAGAAACUAUAUUAGAGGAAGCUCUUGCUUGGACUAUGUUCCAUCUAAAGUUGGCAGAAACUAUGUACGAUGGAUUAUCCUCUCUCUACACAAAUUGCUAAUGCACUAAAGCAACUCUUUCGCAAGAGCUUGCCAAGGUUGGUUGCUAGGAGUUACAUUCCUUAUAUAUGCGAAGGAUCUGCUACCCUUGAUAAAAAUUUAAUGAAAUUUGCAAAAUUAGAUUUCAACAUGGUACAACAUUUACACAAGGAGGAGUUAAGCAAGAUAAACAGGUAACCUUAUUCAUAGCCAGACCUAUACACAAGCCAACUAUUGACAUAUAUUUAUCAUUUUUUUGCUUGUUUUAGGUGGUGGAGAUGUUUAGAUGUUGAGACUAUUUUUCCUUUUAUACGGGAUAGAUUGGUGUAGUGUUAUUUUUGGAUAUUGGGAGUAUACUUUGAACCCGUUUACACUAUUGCUAUAACUUUCAUGAUCAAAGUAAUAUCACUCACAUCAAUUUUGGAUGAUAUUUAUGAUGCAUAUGGAACAUAUGAAGAACUUGAAAUCUUUAUGGAAGCAAUUCAGAGGUCACUUGAAACAUUUAUUUUCACCUUCUCUUCAAAAUCAUCAGAAGUAAAUGUCUUUUAUUGAAUUAAGAUAGAAAUAACCAUUUGAAUUGAUGACAUAUUGUAGGUGGGAUAUAGAUCAACUUCCAGAUUACAUGAAAGUGUAGUAUAGUGAAGUCUUAAAUGUUUAUAAAGAAAUGGAAGAUUUAAUGUCUAAAGUGUAGUAUAGUGUCCAAUUCGCGAUAAAAGCUGUAUAUAUGAGCUAAUUUGUUUUCUUUUCUAGGAAACUACUUAAUUUGCAAUCUUAAUCAACUAAAUUAGCUGCUUUUUAGUUAACAAAAACAGCAAAGUCAAGUCUACCAUGCUGAGGCCAAAUGGCUCCAUGAAAAUUACAUACCAACAAUGGAGGAGUAUAUGCCAAUAGCAUUAGUUUCUUGUGGUUAUCCGCUACUUACAAUUGCAUCUUGUGUUGGCAUGGAUGAUAGCAUAACAAAAGAGACAUUUAUUUGGGCAUUCAAUGACCCCAAAAUUUGUAGAGCUUCAAAUACUAUUUUUAGGUUGAUGAGUGAUAUCGUUAACCACAAGGUAUACAAUUUAUUUACUUAUUGUUUAUCGCCAUAACCCAUAAAACAGAAAUGGACGAGUAGCUCUACAUUAGCUGAAAUUAAAUUAUGUUUUAUUGUAGUUUGAGCAAGAGAGAGGACAUGUUUCAUCGGCUGUGGAGUGCUACAUGAAACAACAUGGGGUGUCAAUGCAAGAGGCAUACAAUGAGUUCUACAAGCAAAUCAACAAUGCUUGGAAGGAUAUUAAUGAAGAGUGCUUGAAACCAACAGCAGCAACACCAAGGUCGGCUCUUAAUCGAAUUCUAAAUCUUGCAAGGGUUAUGGAUCUCUUUCACAAGGGUGAAGAUGCUUACACGCAUGUUAGUGAUGCAGCAAAAACUAGCAUCAAUUCCCCGUUGGUUGAUUCAAGAAUUCAAAGUUCAAAUGAACUCGAGCUCACUUUUGAGAAGUACAUCCUAAAAUAUCAGCAUUUGCAUGGAAUUUAUUCUUUUAUCCUCGAGUAGUAAGCUCAUUUGUAAAAUAAAUAAACAUGGUUCUGCUUUCCCACCUUUUCCCGAGUUGAAUGCUUUAAGUAGCUCGGGUUGUUUAAGUGUUUAUUGUGCAUUAUCUCUCUUUUAUUAACAAAGCUUUAUGCUUUUAAAAGGAAUGAUGUAAUUAUCAAUGUGGAUGUAACAUUUCCAAAAUAUAUAGUGUUUCAAUAGUUGUAAAUGAAAAGUUAUAAGUAUCCAAAAGUUAUCUCACUAUUUAUAGUUAUUAGCUAUGUCUCUUAAAUUCAAAAGUUAUAUCACUUGAUUAUUAACAAAUAGUCAUAAUUAUUUAAGUAGAUAUGUAUUGAAUAAUUAUGUUUAUUGCUAAAGAUAUGCCUAUCCAUUUGGAUAAUUAUGUUCCUACGAACAGACAUAAAACCUCCUAUAAAUAGGUGUGAAAUUUCAUUUGUAUGGUAUACAAAAAAAUAAAAACAAUUUUUUUCUAUUCUCCCACCAUCUUUUAGAUUCUUAGAUUGUUUUAUAAAGAAUUAUUACAUAAAUUCUUUGUAGAAAUUGAUAUCCUUGUCAUGCUCUGCUCAUUGCUCAGUAGAUUGUUUCCGUCAAUGCAAGACAUAAACAAUCAUUGGACUUCAUUGUAUCCUCGAGGUUCAUUUGCUAAUAACUCUUUUGCACACCAUAAUAUAGGUGAGGGCGAAUAAAACCUUAAAGAAAGUGGCAUUGGUACACGCCUUAAAACCUUUAUUAAUUUCCAAUAAGUUCAUUUUUAUCCGCUCACAACAACACUUGUAGCGACCUAAAAAUUUGGCACGGGCGCUAAUUGAAGUGAUUAUUGAAAAUUUAAAAACAGUGUCUCGAUUUUAUUUGAAAAGGAGUCGCCACCGAUCUUUUUUUUUCUAGGUGUGAUCGGACACCUAAUAAAUUCUCUUUUUAGAAGAAAAAUUUAUUUUUAAAUUUUCCUAAAAAAGAGGCAAUUUUAGGUCUACGUGAAAAUCCAGAGAAAAUUAGAGUUCGGGAGUCAGUUACGCGCGAGGAAGGUAUUAGCACCCUCGCGACGCCCAAAAUUGGUAUCUUGUUAAACGCGCGUUGUCUUCAUUUUCAAAAAUACGAGUUCAAUUUAAUAUUUACUCGCGAUCCGAUCGAAACAUGAGAAUUUUGGAAACACAAUUUAAAAAAAAACGAAAAUUUAUGAAACACGAGAUUUUUUUUUUGAAAACACGAAAAUUUUGAAAACACGAAAAUUUUUAAAAAUACGAGGAUUUUUGAAAUACGCAAAAUUUUGAAAACACGAAAAUUUUUGAAAUACGAACAUUUUAGAAACAUGAAAAUUUUUAAAACACGACAAUUUUUGAAACACGAGAAAAAAGUUUAGAAAUUUGGAAAUUUUUAGAAAACACGAAAAAUUUUGAAAAAUGGAAUUUUUUGAAAACACGAGAAUUUUUGAAAACAUGAAAUUUUUUUUGAUUUUUCAUUAAGCACGUAUCGUAUUUAACACUAAUCGAUGAUAUUCACUCAACAUAGCAAUGAAAUCAACGAAUUAGUGUCAAAUCGAUUCGUUACCUUAUUUUUGAAAACACGAGAAAUUUUUUUGAAGACACGAGAAUUUUGAAACCCGAGGAUUUUUUUUAAAAAUACGAAUUUUUUGAAUAUUUUUUAUUUUUUUAAAAGGGCGUAUCGAGUUUAACACAAACCGGUGAUAUUCACCCAACAUAGCGAUGAAAGCAAUGAUUUUAUGAUAAAUCGAUCCGUUGCCUUAUUUAUUAAAAGUAUUUAAAAUAGAAUUAAAAUUAAAAUUGAAUUAAAUUAAAUUAAAAAUAUAAAUGCCAAAAUAUAAAAAUGCAUAAAAUACUAAUAAUAUUAAAACGAAAAAAUACAAGCAUUAAAUUAAAAUAAAAAACGAAAUUACCGAAAAAAUCUCGAAACACGAACUUCGCCGAACGGGUAACACAAAUUAGAGUCUUUUUUUCUCUUUUUCUUUUUUUUUCUUUUUUUCUCUUUUUUUUUUUCUUUUUCCUUCUUUUUCUUUUUUCUUUUUUGCUUUCUUUCUCUUUUUCUUUCUUUCUUUUUUUUCUUUUCGGCCUGUUGGGCCGGCCUGCUGGGCCUCCUGCACACCUGCUGCUGUUGGGCUGCCUGGGCACUGGGCCUGGCUGAUGGGCUGGUGCGUUGGGCUUUGGGCUGCUUCUUUUCCCUCUUUUUUUUGCUGUUUAUUUUUUUUUGCUUUGUUUGCUUUUUUUUGAGCUGCUUUGGGCUUGACUAUUGGGCUUGCUGGGUCGGGUUGGGUCACUGGAUCGGGUCGGGUCAGACCCGGGUCGGGUCGGUUUGACCCGACUGUUAAAUUUUUUUUCUUUUUUUUCUUUUUCCUUUCCCUCUUCUUUCUUCUUCUCUCUUUCUUUCUUCUUCUUCUUCUAUCUUCUUCUUCAAAACCGAGCCACCACACCGUCGCUUCUUUCACGCCGCCGUUCGAGCUGCCACCGUCGACUCCACCGGACCUUUCUCUUUCCUUUCUCUCCCCUUUUUUCUUAUUUUGGAAGCUUUUUUCUCUUUGAAAUUUUUUUUUGAGACUCGUGGGUGGGGUCCCCGAUUUUAGGGGUAAAACACCCCUUUUAUAGAUGAUUUUUUCUUCUUUUUGCAGGGAGCAGGUGGCUAGGGGAGAGGGAGGCCAUGCCUUAGGCCGGUGGCUGGAAAUCACGGGGGUAGGUGUGCAAGUUGCUGCCAGAAGGACUAAAUUGCAACUGCAGUAAAACUUUUGGGGCCAAAAUGAAUUUUGAGAAAAUUUAGGGGUCAAAAUGUAAUUUCAAAAAGUUAGUGGGUCAAAAUGUAAUUUCAAAAAGUUUAGGGGUCAAAAUAUAUUUUUUGAUUUUUUAUUUUUUGAAAUUUUCUUUGAAAUUUUUUUAAAUAUAUAUAUAUAAACACGACAAAACCCGGACAAAAUUUAGUGCUUACAACACUUAUAUAGCUUUAUUUUGAAUUGAUCUUUGUUUUUCAUAAUAGAUUAAAAUACAUGUUCACUAUGUACUUAGAAAUUAUAUUAAGGCUCUAUAUAGGGGUUGUUCCUAUUUUGAUUACCUCAAAUUUGCUUUUAUUAAGUUGGCCACCCAAAAAAGAAAUUGAUCAAAUUGGUCACUUCAUCAUUAAAGGAUAAUAGAACUCAUGAAAAUCCUGCAGAUAUGAUGACUGAGUCACUUCCUAUAACCAAGUUUGAGCACUGCUUAGACUUGGUUGGUGUUCAUUAUUGAAGUUAAACCCUUAAGGGUUUUAUGAAAGAGGUGGAGAACUUGUUCGCUGAGAGUUCGCGAUGAAGAACUUGUUCAUUAAGAAUUCGUGUCAAGGUGGAGAUUGUUAGAAUUAAGUGACCCGAAUCCUUAUUUAAAUAAAAUACAGUGGUAAAAUAAAAGUAAAAUCCCUACAGAAUUAUACUUAUUUUAUUUUAUUUUUAGAAUAAGGUUUUCCAAACCUUAUUAAACUCCAUCUAUUUGAUAUUGAUUAGAAUAAGGUGUUUCAAUCUUACUACGCUCCUAUUAGAAUAUGGUUUUACAAGCCUAUAAAUAGACAUAGUCUAUUCUUGUAAUUAUUCGAAUUCGACAUAGUGGAUUUUCUUCUCCUCUGCCCGUGGUUUUUUCCCGAAAGGGUUUCUACGUAAAAUCUGUGUGUUAUUUAUUUUUAUUUCUCUUUUUUUUUCUUUGUGAUAUAUUAUUAUCGACAUUCUAUUUUUACAGUUCCUAUUUUGAUUACCUGAAAUUUGUUUUUGUUAAGUUGGUCACCCAAAAAAGAAAUUGAUCAAAUUGGUCACUCCAUCAUUAAAGGAAAAUAGAAUUCUAACCACGCAUUUCUAUGUUAGUCACUCUAAGUUUAGGGUAAACUAUUUGUUAGUCGCUUUAAAUAGGAGUUUUUUCUAUUUAGGUCACUUUAAAACAAUACGUGAAAAUAAUUUUCUAUAUUUUAUAUAUAUAUAUAUACAUUUCCUAUAAUACAUAUAUACGUUUUUUUUAAAAAAUUGUUAUAAAUAUAUACAUUUAUAUAUAUAUAUAUAUAUUUUAAACAUUUUAUAAAUAUGUGUGUUUGUAUAUAUGUCUUGCAAAAAUGUUUAUUUUUAUUAAAGCAUUAAAAUCACUUUAUUUCUUAAAAUUUUAAAUAUUUGGCAUUCACGUUUUUCGAGAGAGAUCGUAUCCUAACUUACUAGGCUUCGAUUCUGUUCGAUGAAUUUAGAGGGCCAAGUAUUUAUUUUACAAUGAAAUUGUACACAUUUCAAAUAAAAGCUUAUUCUCAGGAAUUCAAAAAUGUCGGGUCCUAACUUACUGGUCACGACAUUUUGCCAUCUCGAAAUAAGAAUUUCUAAAUAAAUAUAUAAAUGUAAUAUUUGGUAUUUGGAAUUUUGAGAAAUUGUGCCCUAACUUACUGGGUAUCGAUUUACCUCAUUUGACCUAAAUAAUCGAAUAUUAUUUUUAAGUUUAAAUGUAUGAGUUUUAAAAAUUAAAAAAGACAAGCUUAAUUUUGAAGAUUAAAAAUGUUCGCCCUAACUUACUGGGUGUGACAUUUUAUUUCUUUGAAAUUAGAAUGUCUUAUUUUUAAAAUUCAUUCAAGGUAAAAAGUUUUCUUUCAAAAUCUUUUUCAAAUUUUUCGACACCAAGACAUUAAACAAUCAAUUUGGUACCGAUUUUGGGUGUUACGAGGGUGCCAACCCUUCCUCGUCCGUAACUGACUCCCGAACUUGUUUUCUCAAAUUUCGUAGACCAAAAUCGUUUUUAAGGUGAGCCGAUCACACCUCAAUCAAGGGUCGGUGGCGACUCCAAUUUUUUUUAAAAAAAGUCGAUAACUUAUUUUUGUUUUCAAAAAAUGGUUUCGACAGCUUGACGACUCCACUGGAGACCGAACCCAGAAUCUCUGGGGGUUUCUUCCAUGUAUUAAUUGGAAUGGAAUUAAAUUUUUUUAAAAAAAUUGAAGGCCAAUUUCAGAAAAUAAAAGGAUUAUUCAAAAAAGAUGUUGAGAAAAUGGAGAGGUAAUGUUUCCCACGACAUAUGAUGAAAAAGGCAAGAAAUGAAUGUAAUGUUUUAAUGAUUUUUCUUCUGAGAAGAAGCAUCUUCAUAGAAGGGUAAAGUUUUUCUUUUUGAACGACUAAAUUGAUGAUUUAGUACAUUUAUUAUCUAUGCUUUGAACUUUGUCAAUUUAGUCCGUAAAUCUAUCUUUACUAAUUGUUUACCAAAAAUUUCCAAUUAUAUAUAUAUAUAUAUAUAUAUAUAUAUAUAUUAUAAAAUAAUGAAAAGAAAGAACAAAUUUAUGAAAAAACAUCAAUAUAAAAAGAUAAUACACUAGAAAGAUAAAAAAAAAUCAAUACAAAGAGAUAGUACACUUGAAAGAUAAAUGAGAGAUUUUUUUUUUAUUUUAUUCCUUCUGAGUAUCUUUACAAGCCUUGUACAUGCCUCUAUUUAUAAACCUUUUAAUAUAAUACGACCCUUAAGUUAUAAAGAAUAGACAGAGGUUUAAUUAUAAUAUAAAAUCUUUAUAAUUCCAUUGUGGGUUACAACUUUGAAAGUUAUGGACAUCCAUAAUAAAGUAAUAUUUAUAACAUUCCCCUUAGAUGUCCAUUAACAAUGAAUGAUUAUACCUCGUUAAAACCUUACUAGGGAAAACCCUAUAGAAAAAAAUCCCAGUGAAGAAAAAAUAGUACACUUUAACAAACCUACCUCAUUAAAAACCUUGCGUGUAAAAUCCAAUGGGAUAAAACCUCGUCAAGGAAAAAAAAACAAUGCUUAUUAUACUACCCCUUAUUUGAACAUCAUUUUAUAACUCAAUAUUGAGACGUUCAAUAUUAUUUAUCAAUAGUAAAUCAUAACCAUAUACAACAAAUUCUGUUGAUGCGUAUUAAUAUAGCAAUAAAUUCAAUUGCAUUCCCAUGCAUUAGAUGUCGCCAACAAUUUUGUAAAGCAUGAUGUAUUGUAUUAUUCACUAUUACCAAAAAAAAUGAGUGUAUUGGAUACAUAAAGAAAUGGUAUUUCAGGACCAUCAUUUUAUAAUAUAAUUGUAUGACCAUUUGUACUCCUUUUCAAUAUCUCCAAUCUACAUGAAAAAAAUGAUCUUGAUUAAUUUUAAUUAUAUAAACACUAUUUGGAUACUUAAAUUCUUUGUAAUGUUAUUAUGUGAUCAUUUGUCCUUAUUGAACGCUCGACCUUCGGAUUGAGGCAAAAUUUUAUUUUUAGAUAUACUUUAAUUAUAAAGUUUAUCUACCGAAUAAUUAUUGCUCUUGGAAAUUUUUCAGGAACUCCAAUAGUAUUUGAUAUAAUAAUAUCAACAACAAUAAUAACCUAUAUAUAUAUAUAUAUAAAUAUAUUAAUUAAUAAAAACACGUGAAUAAGCUCAUAUUCUCAUUUAAUGAUUUUUUGAUGAAACUUGAGUUUUAUGCUUUCUGCAUUCUUUAGGGAUUUUUAUUUUUAUAAUAUUACUAAAUAAUUUAUAUCAGUUGAAUACAAAUUCACUAGACGUAAAUAAAUAAAUUUAUCUAGUACCAAACUAUUGCAUCCACCACAAAUUAUUUUCAUAGUCAAAACAAAGUGUCUUGUGAAAGUUUGUAUUACAAGUCAUAUAUAUAUAUAUAUAUAUGUAUAUAUUAUGACUUGCAUUUUUCACUAUUAUACUAACAUGUACUCCACUUGACUUUACACCAUCCUGUGUUUGGACUUCAGGCCCGAGAAACAUUUCGUAAGUUAUAAGGAAGUGUCUAUUUAUUUUGAUGAGUUGUAUGCUUUCAAAUAUAUUUUCAUUCAAGAUUCUCACUUUCCAUAAUAUUAAAGUAUUCUAUGUAUAUUGUCAUUGUUGAACAUAAUUUCUUUUUGUUAGAUCAAUCAUUUUCGAUUGUGACAGAACUUAUUGAAAUAUCUUAUUAUAUUCAUAAAUCCAGGUACUUGAACCUUCUAUGAGGUUUUAUCAAAAGUUAUGUCUUUGGUCUCUUCAUGAGCAUGUGCCUUCUUUAACAUGUGACCAUAUUUAUUUCUUGUUCAUUUCUUUGAGGAAUUUUUCAUUUCAUGGAACCUACUAAUUUGUUUUAUACGUAACUUUUGUACUAAAAAACACUUAUUUUUGUACUAGAUUAAAUUUGUUUCAUACGUAACUUUAAUAAAAAAAUUUUAAAUAUUGCUUUUUAAAAAAUUUAAAACAAAAAAGAAAUUCAAAGUGUUAAACGUUUACAAAAAACAUAAAUACUUAUUUGAAAAGUUUUUUUUAAAAAUCAUAAUAAUAAAAAAACAUGGUUAAAAAAAUAUCAAAAGAUUUUGAAAAAUUUAAAUGCUAAAUUUUUUUUAAUGUAUGUUUUAAAUAUUGUUUUAUAUUUAAUUCAAAUUAAGAAUAUUAAAAAAAUUUAAAAUAACUUAUUAAUAUUUGUUUAAAAUAUAACACUCUUUUCAAUUUUCUUGAAUCAAUUAUUAAAAAAUAGAAUAAUAAAAAUAAUAUUAGGGGUUAGUAUUUAGUACACUUGUAUUUUUUUAUUUUACAAGUAGCUUUGAAAAAUUAACAAGUGUCUCUUUUCUUAAAAUAUUUUACUAUAACCCUAUAAGACAGUUGUCAAACCUUUUGAUUAUGCUUGUGGAGUCUAAAAACUCUAUUGGUAUUCUACCAAAUAAUUUCCCUAACGUUGAAUAUGCUACUAUAAAUAUAUGAGAAAUUAUUUAGUACACUAUCAGUGAAGUUUUUUUGAAAAAAUAGAUAUUUUAAAAAAUGAAAAUACAUGUUAAUAUUUUAAACUCUUAUGAAAUAGAAAAAUAUACUGCUAGUAUUAAUUUGGUUAUUUUUAUUUUGGUCAUUCCAAUUUUUUUUUGUUAAUUUGGUAACUCCGAAAAAGAAAUUGAUCAAAUUGAUUACAAUUUACCGUUAAAUGGUAGUGGAAAGAUGAUACAUUUUCAUGUAUUGUUUUAUAGUGACCAAAAUAGGAACAACUCCUAUUUAAAGUGACUAAUAGGUAGUUUAUCCUAAAUUUAGAUUAGCUAACAUGGAAAUGCACACAUUCCAUUAUCAUUUAAUAGUAGAGUAAUCAAUUUGAACAAUUUCUUUUUUGGGUGACCAACUUAACAAAAUAAGUUUGGGGUAAUCAAAGUUGGAACAACCCUUAUUUAGAGUGAUUAAUGAGUAGUUUACCUUGAUAUGAUAUCACGGUAUUGAAAAACAAAAAUCAAUUCAAAAUAAAGUUAUAAAAUUGUCGGUGUGUGGGGGAUGAAAAUGAAUUUAUGAUAAAUUAAUAAAGGCUUCAUGAUUUGUAUCAAUGUCACUUUGUUUAAGGUUCUAUUCCCCCUAACCUAUUUUAUGGUGUGAAAAAGAGUUACUGACAAAUGAACCUCAAGUAUACAAUAAAGCCCAAUGAUUGUCUAUGUUUUGCACUGACAGAAACAAUCCACUGAGCACUAAGCAGAGCAUAGUAAGAAUAUCAAUUUCUAUAAAGAAUUUCCAUAAUAAUUUUUUAUAAAACUAUCUAAGAAAAUAAAAAAGGUGGAAGAAUAAUAAUGUAAUACCCGAUUUUGGCCCGGGUAAAAGGCCCAAAUUACAAACGGGCCUAUAAGGGCCCAAACCGAAAUAAAACAAGAGGCCCAAAAUUCGGUCGCCCAAAACAAUUGCAGGAACCCUAGGGUUUCUAAGGAUCAACAGUGCCGCAGCCAAGCCAGAAUCUCCACGCCUUCACCUGUAAGAAAUAAACAGCAAAAAUGGAAAGAGAAUCAAAGAUUCGCAAAUCAAAUAAAAAAUAGAUUUGUUUCUUCUUUAUAUUGUUUCAUUCGGUUAUAAAAAAGCCAUGGAUGUACUGUAAAAGGGAUGAAAAAAGUAAAUAAGAAAAAGAGAGCAGCAUUUCACACAAAAAAAGAACUGGAAAUUAAAUCGGAGAAUCAAUCGAAAACACAAAGGUUGAUGUAUAUAUAUAUAUAUAUAUAUUUGUUUCUGUUAUUUAUUUCUUUUAUUUUUUACAUACUGAUAAAAUAAAAGAAAAAGGUAGAGAAGUUUACCUUCGUGUGGGUUUGUCACGCCGUGAGACGAUUGAGGGAGCCACCCCCGAGGAUCGGUGGCCGAAAAUCGAAAGGUUUUGAGAUUUCCUCCCGUUUUCUGUUGUUUUUUUUGAAAUUUCGAACCCAGAUUUGGGUUUAGGGAAGUCAUAAGGGCCGAAAAGGGGAUUUUCUUUUUUUUUUUCUGGCCACCACAGACGGCGGUGCUGGUGCCGAAGACCAGCGGCCGGCGCGGUGGUCGGUGAUCAGUCGAUGCCCGGACCUUGGUCGGACGAACAGGGGAAGGGGAGAGUUUUUUUGAGUGGUCUAAGGGUUUUUUUUAAGAAGUGAAAAAAAUGAUUUUUUUGAACUAAAUUUGGCUUAAAUAGCCUACUGAAAACGGCGUCGUUUAAGGCCUGAAUCGACUCAAAACAGACCCGACCCGGCCUAGGAUCCGUGUGUUUUUAUGCAGAGGGGCAAAUUGCGCUUUUAGCCCCUCCACCUUUUAAUGUUUUUACAAUUAAGUUUUUUUAAAUUUACCCUUCCAAUUUAUUUUCAAUUUCAAUUUGAUCCUGAUUGAACGACGCCGUUUAGAGGAAAUGAGAGAAUUUCCCUUCUGGUCCCUCUAUGUAAUUCGCGUGUUCAAUUAAGUCCUUUGGGCUUUAUUUAUUUGCGGAUUUACCCCAGAUUUUUCAUCUUCAGUUCAAUUUAGUCUUUUUUUUUAUUUUUUUAAAAUUAAUUAAUUUCAAUAAUGUAAUUAUUUAUAUAUAUAUGUAAUUAUUAUUUUUAUCUAUAUAUAUGUAUAUAUUUAUUUAUUUUAUAAGUGUACAUGUAUAUAUAUAUGCUUGCUCCUUUCCCUUAGUACAUUGGUUCAAAUCUUGUUGGUAACAAUUUUUUUUUUUGAAUCAAUUAACUCUUUAAUAUUACAUCAAUAGCAACAAGUACAAAAAAGAUUCAAAAUUGUUACCAACAAGAUUUGAACCAAGGUACUAAGGGAAAAGAGCAAGCAUCUUAACCAACUAAGCUAAACUAAUUAAUUGACAUAUUAUAAAAAUAUUGUUAUUAUCUUAAUUAUAUUACUUACGUUCUAACGAUUUAUCGGACCUAUUCCAUACACGUGUCAAAUUAGAAAAAAUAAUACAACAAUUCUGUAAAAAAAAUUCGGUGUUUACUGCAAAUAAAUAAGGAAAAUAAUAAUUUGAAUGUUUCAAAAUUCAAUUUUAAACCGAAAAAAUCGAAAUUUAUGGGCAAAAGAGGAUCUUUUUCGCCGACCAUCGGCAGUUUGUCACCGCGUAGAUCUCGAAAAGUUAUUCGAAAUAAAAAAAAUUCGUCUCAAUCGGACAUCCCAGCCAAAAGUUAUGGCCUUUCAAAGUUUUCCAAGCUAAAAAACAUAAAUUGUUCAUGCCACGUCAGCAAAUCGCGUCCUCGUAGGUGCGAUUUGUGUCCACGUAAGCAAAUCGCGCUGACGUGAAUGCGAUUUCCUAACGCGUACCCUGACAUCGCGCUGACGUGGAUGCGAUUUCGCAGAAAAUGGACCAUUCCGGUAAAUAAUUAAAUAAAGGGCCCAUUUCGGUAAAUUUUGAAAAAAAUGGGCUUUUUUUGGCAAAUUGCCCAUUUUUUCUUUAUUUAUUUUAAUUUUGUUUAUUUACUGUUUAUAUUAUUUCUAUACUAUUGUUAUUUGUUAAAGCGGCAUUUAUACAUACAUCUAAUAUAACAUUACAUCAUCUUUUUCCUCGAAUUUAAAAAUAGAAAAUUUGCAAAAUAGAGAUAAUACUCGUAUUUAGGAUUUUCAAGAAAAUUGAGCCCUAACGUAUUGGGUUCCAAUUUUCUUUGUUAAAUCUAACAAUCGAGAAUUGCUCUUUAAUCAAAAAAUAAAAUGAAAAGCUUGUUGUCGGGAAUUUAAUAUGUUGUGUCCUAAUGCAUUGGAUGUGACGUGUUUAUUUCUCGAGACAAAGAUUUUUUUUAAAAAUUAAUAAAGGAAAUAUUCAACGUUUAGGGUUUUGAGAAAUUAUGCCCUAAUGUAUUGGGUAGCGAUUUCUUCAUCUCAAACAAUUGUAUAUUCUUUUAAGUCUUAUUACAUGAAUCUUUUGGACAAACUCAUUUUUGAAGAAAUAAAAUAUCGUGCCCUAACGCAUUGGGUGUGACAUUUUUUCUCCGAAAUGAGGAAGUCUUAACGAAUAAGCUUAAUUUAACUAAGGAUCGUAUUUAUCAACUCUCGACAUUAAGACACUAAUUAAUCAACUUGGUACCAAUUUUUUGGCGUUACGAGGAUGUUAAUCCUUCCUCGUACGUAAUUGACUCCCGAACCCGUUUUUCUAAAACUCAUAGACCAAAGUCGUUUUAGGUGGCCCAAUCACACCUUAAUAAAAGAUUGGUGGCGACUCCAAUUUUCAUCGACAACUAAUUUUUGUUUUUUCUCUCAAAAAUAAAAAUGGUUUCUGUAAAGCCCAUAUUUUGCCCAAGCCCAUACCAGCAUAACAAGCCCAACAAAUAAAAAUUAUAGUACAUUACAAAUGACCCAACUGGCCCAAAAAAAUAAAGCCCGAUAAGCCCAAAAAUUAAACACAAUCAGAGAAAACCUAGGGUUUCCCUAACCCUUUCGCGCCAUAGCCCCUAAUGCCUAUGUGCGCUGCUCCCUCGGGCGUACCAUCCGCGCCUCGUCCCGAGGCUUACCUGACACCCUAGCCACCACCUUGCACCAAAACGGCAAAAAGCCGCGAACUCUGCGUUCGUCGAUACCUGCAAAUGACACAAAAUAGAAACAAGAACAGCAGAAGAAAAGGAAAGAACAGUAUAGAACAGUAGCAUGCACUGUAAUCCAAAACGACUAUAAAAGCCGAAUCAAACAAAUGUAAAAAAAGGGGGGAUUGAAAAAAUAUUGCUAAAUCAAUGAAGUCGAAAAUCUUUGAACAGAAGGUUUUUUCUCUUUUUCAUUCCGUUUUUUUAUGAUUUGUUUAUGUCUUUCUCUUUUUAUUAUGUAUGUAUAUAUAUAUGUAUAUAAGAAUAUUCAUAAAAAAAUGAGAAGCAACCUUACCUGGACUGGUGCGCCGUCGAAGCCAUCAUCUCCUCUACUCGAAUCGGAGAGAAAGGGGAAGGUUUUGCACCGAAACGGCACUCUUAGGUGCCUCCAGUUUCUGUUUCUGAGUAUUAUUUAAAGAUGGAUAGGACUUAGGGUUUUCUGAGUUGAUUUUAAAAGCGGAUUAAACGACGCCGUAUAGAGCUUGCUUCAGUGGCUCUAAAACGGCGUCGUAUGAGGCCUGUAACCCUGUAACCCGAUGACCAGAUCCAACCGCAGCUAGAUCCACGCGUUUUGGAAGGGGGAGGAUUAUUUGCGUGCCAGGUCCUCCACUUUUGCACCUUGGUUCAAUCUAGUUUCUGUUGCUUCUUUAAAUUGAGCCGCUUAUUUUCUUGCCGAUUUCAUUUUAGUCCGCAUCGCAGUGCUACGUUUUGUGGAUUGGGAUGUUUCCCACUUUUGUCCCCCUCCUUUCACGCGCGUCACGCCUCGAUCUAUUUCUUUGUUUUUUUUUUUUCUUGGAUUUCGCCUCUAAGAUUUUGUUUAUGUUCAAUUUAAUACCCCCUUUUGUUAUUUCAACUGUUUUAUUAUUAAAGUAGCUAUUUUAGUCUUAUUACUACUAUUAUAUUAUAUCAUUAAUAUAGUAUUAUUAUUAUCGUUAUUAUUAUUAUAUUUAUUUUUAUAUAUAUGUAUAUUUUUAUGAUUACUAUUAUUAUGCCAUUAGUUUUAUAUUAUUACUGUUAUACAUAUUUUUUUAAAUUUACUUAUUUAAAACUUCACCAUCCUUUUAACCAGACAAAGGAUGCUCCUCUACGUACCUAUCCAUUAAAGGAAGCUAGAUCAUACAUUCAAUUUAUACCAGCAAUAGCUAUAAACUUUUGCUACUGCGCACUUAAUGACAAAAAACUAUGUUAAUUAAAUUUCCAUUUCCUUUUUUGUUAAAAUAACUCCAAACUAAGAAAAAUAGACGAACUAGCAUAUAUAUGCAUGUAUUUCUUUUAAAUGAAACAAUAGAUGUGUAAGGAAACAUAUGUAACUUUAGAAGACAGGGGUUCUAAGAGACAUUUAAUCGAACAGUUGAAGAACGUAAAAAAUUAUUGAAUAACAUAUAUAUUUAUAACAUAUAUAAAUAUAUCAUAAAUCCAGGUAUUGAAAUUGAGAACAGUGGAAAGGGAAAGAUAUACCAUAAAUCCAGGUCCUUUAAAAAAUUAUUGAAUAACAUAUAUAUUUAUAACAUCAAGAAAGAAAAUCCACGUUAACACUUUUGGAAUCUAGGAUAUAAGGCUGACCUGAGAACUAUUCUGUAGAUCAAUCCUAAAGAAUUUGACAUUUCAAUUAUUUGAAACACACUCCAACUUAUCUGUUGCUUUUUGACUAGAAGGUUUCCAUUUUCCUGGAGAAGGGAAGCUAUCACAUUUAUUUUGACACAUGAAAAUAUAUUGAUUUUUUUAAAGAAAAAUAAAAGAAGAGAAGAGAAGGGAUUCUAACAUAUUGUAAAAAAUCUACUGUUGCAAAUACAAGUAAUUAAAACAAAAUCAUAUUCAUAAGAUUUUAAAGAAAUCAUAAACAUACCAACUCCACGUUUUAAAAAUGCCAAUCUGCAGACAAAAAUAUGUUUUUCUAUUAGUUCAACAGCAUGGAAAAGAAAAUAAAGAAAGAGCAAAGCAAAAGAAACAACGAUAAGCUAUGGAGCAUAACUUGAUUUAAGUAAAACAAAUGCAUAUUAUAUAUUCACAAUUUAUUAUUCAUCUCAUAAUCUGCCUCAGAACUUUGUUCAUCAAUACAGAACAAGAAGAAUUACCUCAGACAAAUGAGAAUAAAGACCAUUAAUUGUUGGCCAUCAUUGUCGCUUUCUACAUCCCAAAGCCCCUGGAUUUUUCUAAAAGUCCAGCGGGACUGUUAUUGUUAUAUGUGUAUGAAUCGCGAUAGGUUUUUUUAAAAGUUCUGCAGAGAAAGAAAAAAUAGCUUUUUAAAUUUGGGCGUUUAAGAAUUGGGGUUGAGGAAGAAAAGAUAGCAAUGGGCAUGGAGUUAAAAAUUUUAAAGGACGGUAUGUUUGUAAAGUUGGGGGUUUCAAGGGCGGAAAUUAGGGAUUUUAGGAGGGAAAGUUGGGGAUUUUGGGGAGGGGAUUUUAUAAAAUGGCGUUAUUUUUUUAUAAAAUUAUUUUUUUGUGGUGUUUUUUAUAAAAACGCCGCUAAAUGCUUUACUAUAUAAAAUGGCUAUUUUUUAAAGUAAAAUUAUUUUUUGUGGCGUUUUUUAUAAAAACGCCGCUAUUGCUUACCUUCUGUGGCGUUUUUAUAAAAAAAUGUUUUUCUAUAUAAAAUGACUAUUUUUUAAAGUAAAAUUAUUUUUUGUAGCGUUUUUUAUAAAAUGCCGCUAAAUAUUUUGCUAUAUAAAAUGGCUAUUUUUUAAAGUAAAAUUAUUUUUUGCAAAUGCCGCUAUUGCUUACCUAUAAAAACGCCGCUAAAUAUUUUCCUAUAUUUUUUAAAGUAAAAUUAUUUUUGUGGCGUUUUUUAUAAAAACGCCGCUAAAUGUUUUGCUGCGCUAUUUUUUUAAAGUAAAAUUAUUUUUUGUGGCGUUUUUAUUUAAAACGCCGCAAAAAAUUAUUUCAUUUGGAAUAAAGCGACACUGUUUUGCUAUGCUAAAAAUAUUUUAUUUUGUCUGUUAAAAAUUAUUAGUUAAGUGAUUUUAUAAAAUAUUUAUUAUUAUUUUUUAUAUAUUUAAUUUUUAUAAAAAAAAUCAAGUACUCUCAAAAUAAAUAUCGUAUUUUUUAAUAAGAAAAAAAUGAUUGAAUGGUUGUAAUUAAUUAUUAAGUUAUAAUUAUCCAAUGUAAGCAAUUAAUCUCUCACAUAUCAAAUUUCUAUUAAAGAUUUAGACAUUAAUUAUGAUUUUAUAUUGUUCAUUUCCGAUCUAAUCUCCAUUUUAUUAGAGAUAUUUCUUCCUAACUAAAAUAUAAUUAUUUUGGUAGAUGUUCGAUGUGGAAUGAUUUUAGUUUUUGUAUUUUAUUUUUAUUUGUUAUAAUUUAGUCCUAUAUAUCCAAAAUAGAUAGUUACCUAUCCGUAUCAAUUUGUUACAUUUUUUUAUUUAUUAAUUUUUUUAAAUCUAAUAUCUAAAUAUAUCAAAUGGUUUAAAUUAAAUAUUUUUUAGUCAUAAACACCGGUAAUGUUACCUUUUCCGGCGUUUACAGAAGAAAUGCCACUAAUAAAUUAAAUUAUUGUAAUGAAACGACACCAUUUUGAAAAAUUCUAAAUCAUAUUAGCGGCGUUUUGGCUAUAAACGCCUCAAAAGCUCGCAUAUUUUACAAUUUUUUAUAUUCAAUUAUUGUAUAUUGCAUAUCAAUUUUAAACUAAUAAUCUUUACAAUUUAUUAAUUCUCUUUUACAAUUAUAUAAGAAAUUAUUUAAUAUAUAAAUUAAAAAAUACUAAUUAAUCUAAACUUUAAACCCUAACUCGACCCCGAAUCUCUAAACCCUAAAUCACUAACUCUUAACCCCAAACCCCAAACCACUAACCUCUAAACCUUAUUUAAUAUAGAAAUUAAAAAACACUAAUUAAUCUAAAUCAUAAACCCUAACCCGACCCCAAAUCCCUAACCCCUAACCCCUAAACAUUAUUUAAUAUAUAAAUUAAAAUACACUAAUUAAUCUAAACCCUAAACUCUAACUUGACACCAAAUCUAUAAACCCUAAAUCUCUAACUCUUAACCUCUAACCCUUACCACCUAACCCCUAACCCCUAACCCAUAAACCUUAAAUCACAACCCUUAAAUCAGAAUCCCUAAUCCAUAAUCCCUAAUUCUAUAAUCUAUAAACCUUAAAAUUGCAACUCUUAAACCAGCCCUAAAUCCUAAAUUAACCAUAUAUCUACCCUAAGCCAUAUAUAUUAAACCCUAAACUAUAAUGAUAANNNNNNNNNNNNNNNNNNNNNNNNNNNNNNNNNNNNNNNNNNNNNNNNNNNNNNNNNNNNNNNNNNNNNNNNNNNNNNNNNNNNNNNNNNNNNNNNNNNNUUUAAAAUUAAUACUAUCAUAUCUUUUACAAUUAUAUUUGAAAUUAUUUAAUAUAUAAAUUAAAAAUCAAUCAAUCAUGUACACAAAAAAUUAAAAUUAUUUUAAAUAAUAGUAUAUUAAUUUCUUCAUUUUUAACAAAUAUUUUUCUAUGUUUUUUUAUUUCAAAUUAUUUUUACCUGUCAUUAUUUCAAAUUUAUCCAUUUUUAAAAAAUAUUCAAUUAAAAAUAAAUUAAAUAGUAAAUAGCAGAUAAAAUGUUUUUGCGGCGCUUUUUCAAAAACGCCGCUAAAGCCUCGAGCAUUAGCGGCGCUUCUUGGAAAACGCCGCUAAAGAUCUGAGCAUUAGUGGCGCUUCUUCAGAAACGCCGCUAAAGAUCUGAGUAUUAGCGGCGCUUUUUUAAAAAUGCCACUAAAGAUUUGAGCAUUAGCGGCGCUUUUUUAAAAAACGCCGCUAAAGAUCUUAAAGGUAGAAAACGAUGUCAUUGUGCUUAGGUUUUUUGCGGCGUUUUUCCAAAAAACACCGCUAAUGCUCAUUUUUAGUGGCGCAUUCCUAGGAGCGCCGCUAAUGCUCUAUCUUUAGCGGCAUUUUACUUAAUGCGCCGCUAAUGCUCGAUUUUUAGUGGCAUUUUUUGUUCAAACGCCGCUAAAAAUGCCGCUAAAAGCCUGUUUUGGUGUAGUGAUACCAGCAUAACAAGCCAAAAAAAUAAAAAUUAUAGUCCAUUACAAAUGGCCCAACUAGCCCAAAAAAAUAAAGCCCGAUAAGCCCAAAAAUUAAACACAAUCAGAGAAAACCUAGGGUUUCCCUAACCCUUUCGUGCCGUAGCCCCUACUGCCCAUGUGCGCUGCUCCCUCGGGCGUACCAUCCGCGCCUCGUCCCGAGGCUUACCUGACUCCCUAGCCACCGCCUUGCACCAAAACGGCAAAAAGCCGCGAACUCCGCCUUCGUCGAUACUUGCAAAUGACACAAAAUAGAAACAAGAACAGUGGAAGAAAAGGAAAGAACAGUAUAGAACAGUAGAAUGCACUGUAAUCCAAAACGGCUAUAAAAACCGAAUCAAACAAAUGUAAAAAAGGGGGGAUUGAAAAAAUAUUGCUAAAUCAAUAAAGUCGAAAAUAUUUGAACAGAAGGUUUUUUUCUCUUUUUCAUUCCAUUUUUUAUGAUUUGUUUCUAUCUUUCUCUUUUUAUUAUGUAUGUAUAUAUAUAUGUAUAUAAGAAUACAUAUAAAAAAAUGAGAAGCAACCUUACCUGGACUGGUGCGCCGUCGAAGCCAUCAUCUCCUCUACUCGGAUCGGAGAGAAAGGGGAAGGUUUUGCGCCGAAACGGCACUCUUAGGUGCCUCCAGUUUCUGUUUCUGAGUAUUGUUUAAAGAUGGAUAGGACUUAGGGUUUUCUGAGUUGAUUUUAAAAGGGGAUUAAACGACGCCGUAUAGAGCUUACUUCAGUGGCUCUAAAACGGCGUCGUAUGAGGCCUGUAACCCGAUGACCCGAUCCAACCGCGGCUAGAUCCGUGCGUUUUGGUAGGGGAGGAUUAUUUGCGUGCCAGGUCCUCCACUUUUGCACCUUGGUUCAAUCUAGUUUCUGUUGCUUCUUUAAAUUGAGCCGCUUAUUUUCCUGCCGAUUUCAUUUUAGUCCGCAUCGCAGUGCUGUGUUUUGUGGAUUGGGAUAUUUUCCACUUUGGUCCCCCUCCUUUCACGCGAGUCAUGCCUUGAUCUAUUUCUUUGUUUUUUUUUUUUCUUGGAUUUCGCCUCUAAGAUUUUAUUUAUGUUCAAUUUAAUACCCCCUUUUGUUAUUUCAACUGUUUUAUUAUUAAACUAGCUAUUUUAGUCUUAUUACUACUAUUAUAUUAUAUCAUUAAUAUAGUAUUAUUAUUAUCGUUAUUAUUAUAUUUAUUUUUAUAUAUAUGUAUAUUUUUACUAUUACUAUUAUUAUGCCAUUAGUUUUAUAUUAUUACUGUUAUACAUAUUUUUUUAAAUUUACUUAUUUAAAUUUAUAUAUAUUUGUCCUAUUAUUAUUACUAUUAUAACUAUUUAUAUAUAUCUUUAUAUCUUAUUAUAUAUAUAAAUAUCUCUUUAUAAACAUAUUUUUAUAACCUAUAUACAUACAUACGUUUGUUAUACAUACAUAUAUAUAUAUAUGUCUAUAUCCAUCAUACGUUUUUAUAAAUUAUAUAUAUAUACGCCUAUAAUUUUUAUUUAUAUAUAUAUAUAUAUAUACAUACUUACAUACAUUAUUUAUGCUCUAUAUAUAUAUACAUAUAUGUACAUACUUACACUGUUUUAUUUUAUAAUAUACAUACUUAUAUCUUUCAGCUUUAUUAUAAAUAUACAUGUAUACACAUACUCUUAUAUUUUAGACAUUUCAUAUUUUUAUAUACAUAUACAUAUAUAUACAUCAUUACACAUAUUUUUAUAUUUGAUGAUUUUAAAAUAUGUAUACAUACAUAGAUUUUUCAUAUUUUCAUAAUUUUGUGUACAUUCAUGUAUAUACGUUUUUACAUCUAUUCGUUAUUUAUUUAUUUAUUUACAUUUUCAUCAUUAUUUAGAAAGAAGGAUUCAAUUUUAUUUGCCUAUGUACUUGUCACUUUGUAUGUUAUUGAUUGGUCCCUUUUAUUAUCUUAUUUUUGUUGCUAUUGCUCGUGUUAUUUUUACGCCAUCAUAUUUAUUACUGUUGUGCUAUGCAUAUUUUACACUAUACAUCAAAAGGAAAUUUUUUCUAAAUAAGGCAAUAUUUUGCGUUUGGGAAUUCGAGAAAUCAUGCCCUAAUGUGCUGGGUUUUGAUUUUCGUUCGACCAAAUAACUAAAAUAUCCUUUUAAAAUUUCAAAAUAAAGUAAUAUUUUGCAUUUGGAAAUUCGAGAAAACGUGCCCUAACGUGCUGGGUUUCGAUUUCUCGUUGAACCAAAUAGCCUAAUAUCCUCUUAAAUCUCAAUCCAUGUCGUUCGAGUUUUUUAGGAUCGUACUUUAAAUCUCUUCAAAGUUUUCAAUUUUCGACAUUAAGACAUUAAUCAAUCAACUAGGGUGCUAAUUCUUUCUCGUACGUAACCGACUCCUGAACCUAUUUUUUCUGAAUUUUGUGGACCAAAAUCGUUGUUUUAAUAAAAAUUAAAUCGUUUAUUAAAAACAACCACUUUUAAAGGUGAUCUGAUCACACCUUAUCAAAAAGGAUUGGUGGCGACUCCCGUUUUUUUUGUUUUUAUUUUCAAAAUCCAAGUCGACCCCGAUUUAUCAAAAAAUGGUGUCAACAGUUUUGACAAAUAAGAAACUUUGUUCCCAUCUUUUUGGGUGUGUCAUAAAAUUCCACAGGUCCCAUGUCUAUUAAUAGGGAUAUAACUUUUGAAUUUAAAAGACAAAAUUCAUCACUAUAAAUAGUGACAACUUUUGGUUACUUAUAAUUUUUCAUUUGCAACUAUUGGAAUACCGUUAGAUAACUAGAGUUAGUUGGUUUGUCAAGUCAAUUGAUUGUUAGCUAAGUAGUUAUUACUUUGUUAUGAUAGUUACUACUCAAUGCAGUAUAAAAGGGUGCUAAUGACUUGUGAUAAUCAAGAUAAGAAAAUGAUUUGUUUCUUUAUGUGAGUUUCUGUCAUUUGCUGCUGAUAAAUACUAUAUAUAAUUUGAAAAUGUUUCAAAAAUAAUAACAAUAUUUGAUUAUUUUUAUUCUUUUAAAGUACAACACCACUUCUUUUAAAAGCAUGAAGUUUUGUAAUAAAAGAGAGAUAAUACACAAUAAACACUUAAACAACCCGAGCUACAUAAAGCACUCAACUCGGGAAAAGGUUGGCAAGUAGAACCAUGCUUAUUUAUUUUACGAAUGAGCUGACCACACGAGGAUAAAAGAAUAAAUUUCAUGCAAAUGCUGAUAUUUUAGGAUGUACUUCUCAAAAGUGAGCUCGAGUGCAGUUGAACUAUAAAUUCUUGAAUCAAAUUGGGAUUGAAUCAAUCAACAGGGCAUUGAUGCUAGUUUUGGCCGCAUCACCAACAUGCGUGUAAGCAUCUUCACCCUUGUGAAAGAGAUCCAUAACCCUUGCAAGAUUUAGAAUUCGAUUAAGAGCCGACCUUGGUGCUGCUGCUGUUGGUUUCAAGCACUCUUCAUUAAUAUCCUUCCAAGCAUUGUUGAUUUGCUUGUAGAACUCAUUGUAUGCCUCUUGCAUUGACACCCCAUGUUGUUUCAUGUAGCACUCCACAGCCGAUGAAACAUGUCCUCUCUCUUGCUCAAACUACAAUAAAACAUAGUUUAAUUUUGGCUAAUGUAGAGCUACUCAUCCAUUUCUGUUUUAUGGGUUAUGGCGAUAAACAGUAAGUAAAUAAAUUGUAUACCUUGUGGCUAACGAUAUCACUCAUCAACCUACAAAUAGUAUUUGAAGCUCUACAAAUUUUGGGGUCAUUGAAUGCCCAAAUAAAUGUCUCCUCUGUUAUGCUAUCAUCCAUGCCAACACAAGAUGCAAUUGUAAGUAGCCGAUAACCACAAGAAACUAAUGCUAUUGGCAUAUACUCCUCCAUUGUUGGUAUGUAAUUUUCAUGGAGCCAUUUGGCCUCAGCGUGGUAGACUUGACUUUGUUGUUUCAUCUAUUCACAAACAAACAAAAAGGUAACAAAAACCAGCUAAUGCAGUUGAUUAAGAUUGCAAAUUAAGUAGUUUCCUGGAAAAAAAGAAAACAAAUUAGGUCAUAUAUACCGCUUUUAUCGCGAAUUGGACACGAUAUGAUUUUCCCUCUUUGGACAUUAAAUCUUCCAUUUCUUCAUAAACAUUUAAGACUUCACUAUACCACACUUUCAUGUAGUCCGGAAGUUGAUCUAUGCAGUUGAUAUCCCACCUACAAUAUGUCAUCAAUUUAAAUGGUUAUUUCUAUCUUAAUUCAAUCAAAAACAUACUACUUCUGAUGAGUUUGAAGAGAAGGUGAAAAUAAAUGCUUCAAGUGACCUCUGAAUUGCUUCCGUAAAGAUUUCAAGUUGUUCAUAUGUGCCAUAUGCAUCAUAAAUAUCAUCCAAAAUUGAUGUGAGCGAUAUUACUUUGGUCAUGAAAAUUCUAGCAAUGGUGUAAUGGGGUUCAAAGUUAUACUCCCAAUAUCCAAAAAUAACACUCCACCAAUCUAUCUCGUAUAAAAGGAAAAUUGAUCGCAACAUCUAAACAUUUCCACCCCCUAAAACAAGAAAAAAUAACGAUAAAUAUAUGUUAAUAGUUGGCUUGUGUAUAGGUCUGGCUAUGAAUAAGGUUACCUGUUUAUUUUGCUUAACUCCUCCUUGUGUAAAUGUUGUACCAUGUUGAAAUCUAACUUUACUAAUUUCAUUAAAUUUUUGUCAUGGGUAGCAUAUUCUUCGUAUAUAGGAAUGUAACUCCUAGCAACCAACCUUGGCAAGCUCUUGCGAAGGGGUCGCUUUAGAGCGUUAGCAAUUUGUGCAGAGAGAGGAUAGUCCAUCGUAGUUUCUGCCAACUUUAGAUGGAACAUAGUAAAAACAAGAGCUUCCUUUAAUAUAGUUUCUCCAUGCAGUUGAAAGUGUGCAGCUUCGUACAAUUCUAGCAUGCCUUUCACAUCACUGAUUAAGGAUUCUUUAAAUUUCCCUUUCUCAUCAAUGAACUUAUUGAACGUCUCUUCUCAAUCACCAAAUAAAUUUGAACUAUUAUUUUCCUUAAUUUGGUAUAAAGGAAGUCACAAUUUGAAAACAUAAAAAAAAUAAAAAAAAAUAGAGGAAGCAAUGAGUUUGAAUCCUAAAGAUUUGCAACCUCUUUUGAUAUUCUAGAUUGUGAAUUUUUUUAGUUUAUAUAUAUAAAAAGGGAUCCACUUAAAUUAUAUCGAUUAAAUAAUUGAAUUUAUCAAUAUAAACGAUAUAUUUAUCAUUUAUAUAAACUUUUAAUCGAUUAAAUAUUUUUAUAAUAUCUAUCUAGAGCACUAUCUUUAUUAAAGCAUACCACAACAAACAUUGAAGCCAUGCUCUCUCAGUAGACGAAAUCGAACAGAAGCAGUGUAGAGGUCAUCAUCAAUCUGAGCAUUAUUGCAGUGAUGAUGAUAUAUAAUAUGUAAAGCAUCUUCUAUCUCUUUCUCAAAAUGAUAAGCCACACCUAAACGUUGGAUUGCAUCAAUUAUGUCCAAAUUUUGGUAAGGUUUAUCGGUACUUAUCACCAACAUCCUCCUCACUUGUUGCUUCAAUGCUUCGUAUUGUAGAUGAGCUUUAGCAUCUAUAUUCUGUUCAUGUUUGAAUCCUUUUGAAUUCAUUCUAAAAAUCACAUUAUUAAUUGUAUUUUAAGGCUAUACUUAUAAUCAAUUUCAUAUUAUGUUACUCAACAUUUUCAAUUUUUUUUUAUCUAACAUUUAUGUCAAAUACAGAAUGAAAUGAAAAUAAAUAUAUAAUUUUCUUUUGAAAGAAUAUAUAAUCUUUCAAAUAUAUAUAUAAAAAAACUUUUAAAAUGGUAAAAGAUCAUGAAGUCCCUUGUACUAGGAGUGAGAUUUCAUUUUGCACCCUCUACUUAAAAUGGACAAAUCAGUCCCUAUACGUUAUAUUAAAGAGCAAAUCGGUCCUUCUGUUAACAAAUUUAUUUAUUUUUACUGUUAAAAAUUGAUCCCUAUACAUCAGCAUGAGGUAUAUGUGGCAUAAGUGUAUGGUUGUUUCGUUAAUUACGGCAGUUUUUAACAUAAAAAUAGAUAACUUUUUAACGUGAAAUAACCAAUUUGCUCUUUAAUCUAAUAUACAAGAAAUAAUUUACUUGUUUUUUAAUUAAAGGGGAGAAAAUGAGAUCUGAAUCUUAAUACAGAAGCGUCAUUAUACUUUUACUCUUUAAAAUCUAUCUAUGAAAUACAUGACACAAAUAAACACAAGAUAUUCACAUAUAAGAAACAUACCAUUUCAGUAAGAGAAGAGAGGAAAAUGUCUCCCCAAAAGUUGGGAUUAAAAUCGGCGAAAUGGCGAUUUUCUUUUGACAUUUUAUUAUCUUGAGUUGCAACAAGAUUUGCGGACUUUUGAGAAGACAUUUUUUCUUUUGUUGUGUGCUAAAAGCUAUUUGAGAUUUGUGUGAUCCAAAUGCUUUUCUAAGUUGCAUGCAUUUAUAGGCACCUCCUUUGAUGCCCAUCAAGAUCCAAUAUACAUGAUACAAUGUAUCUCCUCUAAAAUCUAUUCAUUCUUUUGUUUAUAAUCGAGCAUUUGAGUCUUUCUAAUUUUUUACUAGAAUUUAUUACGAGGAAAAAUAUUUUUAAAAAUAAUAAUUUUCUUAUCAAUACACUAUUGAAAGAAGGAGGAAGAAGAUAUAGUCUAUAUCUUUAAACUCGUACCAAAGUGUAAGGUGAAAGUUCUAAUCACUAUUUCAAACAAGCUGUAGCUAAAUUUAAUAUACAUUAAAAAAUAAAAAAAUAUAGUCUAUAUCUUUAAAAAUUUUAAAAGAUUAAAUUAAUUUUUUAUCAUUUUGGGGGUCAAAGUGUAAUUUUACUAUAAUUAAUUUAAAAUUUUAUAAAUUAUAAAAUUUUCCAUUUUAAGGGGUUCAAUGCUUGCCAACCUCCCUGCUUUUCCCCUGUGCAAUCACUAUGCUACACCUCAUGAUCUAUGUACUUUUUUGAACAUAUUAAAAGUAAACUCGAUUAUUUUAGAUAUUUUAAUUAUUAAAUACAAAAACAAUGUAAUAAAUACUAUAAAAAACAUGUAAUGUAGGAAUAUUUAAGAUUUUAACAUAUCUUUCGUCAACGUAUUUAAUAUUUUUUUGAUAUUUAUAUUUUUCAAAUUGAACAAAUAAAGAAACAAAAUACAUAUAGCUAAAAUAUAAACCUAAUUAUAAAAGCGUAAAAAAAAAAGGAGGUAGUGCAUAAUUCUAACCCAUGAUUGAUAUGAUGACCAAAAAAGGUGGGUCCCUCGAGGAAGAAGAAAUCAAUAAUUGUAAUAAUAAUCUUUAUAUAUUAAUUAUAAAGAGUUAUUAUUAUUAUUUUAUGAUUUUUUUUGGGAACUUUGAAAUUAUUUGCCAACAACAGAACAAUGCUAUGUCAGAAAUAACACGUUGAGGGCCUACUGACACUAAAUAAAAGGAGUAGAAGUAAAAUUCAAUAAAAAUUAAGGGCUAAAAUUUCUAUUAUUUUUUAUGUAAAAAGUAUCAAAAUAAACUUAUAAUGGCAUCAUUUUAACUAAUGAACUAUUUUUCUGCUUUAUCCAAUGUACAAUGAUUAAUUUACAUAUUUUUCCAAUAAAAUAAUCAAAUGUAAUCUAAAAUAUAAUAAAGGGAUUACUAUGAUAUUUUUACCAAAUAUUUUGCAAUAUAUAUUAGUUUUUAUACCUGCGUGAUGUACGAAUUUAUUAUGUGUUAUAUUUAAAAUAUUUAAUUAAUUCAUAUUUUACUUUUAAGUAUAAUAUAUUAACACAAAAAUAUAAUUUUGAAAAUAAAAAAUUGGCAAACAAAUUUUCAUAAAAAAGUAGUAAUCAAUUUUAAUAAUUAAAAAAUAGAUAACUUAUUGACAGAAAAAAAUUAAAUAAUUUAUAAAGUAAUAAAAUUAAAAAAAGGUAUAAUUCGAUGCUUUUCAAUUGUUAGGUAGAACUUAAGACUAGUUUGGAUGGGCGGUGUGUUUAGCUCCGGUGAGGUUAAAAACAGCGGUGGCGGUGAGAUUAGUUACUGUAGCGGUGAGAUUGGAUACUGUAGCAGUGAGAUUGGGAACAGCGGUGGAGUGUGUGUUUGGAUUCAAACGCAGCUGUAGUGGUGAGGUAAGAAUAAAAAAUGACUAUUAAGGACAUCAAAUUAGAAUUGAUAUAUAAUAGAAUUUUUUUAAAUUAUUUUACUUUUUUAAAAUUAUUAAAAUAUGUGAAUUUAUUAAUUUAUUUAAUAAAAUAUUAAAAUAUAAAUUUAUAAAAAAAUAUUUUUUUCUUUAGCCAUUAGCGUUUUCUAUUUUUUCCAUCAAAGUUUUUUUUUUUUACUUUUCUUUAUUCAAUUUAUUAAUAAAUGAAAAGGGACAAAAAAGGCAUGUAAGCUGCGUUUGUAGUUUUAAAUUUUCAAUUGGCCAUAAAUGGAGCAGUGGAAAUUUUGGGGUGUGGUGCGAUGAACUCCCUUCCACUGCACUGGAAGUUGGCCAUCCAAAGAAGGUUUUGUGCUGCGGUUGCACAGAAAUCAGUAAAAAAUGCACUGAAUUGAUGCUAAAUUGGGAUCCAAAGGAGGCCUUAAUGUUGAAUCACCAAAUUGUUGUGCUCCUAUUUUUGAGUGCUAUGAAAUUAAAUUAUAUAAAAAAAAAGAAUGAUAGUCAUAACUCACUCGCAAAUGUAUUUUUAUUCUCUAAAUAUGCUUCCUCUAUAAUAUAUAUUUAAGGAUAGUAUUUGUUAUACUGGUAAUAUAUAUUUUUUAUUCUAUAAAUAAUUUUAAAAAAUUAAUAUGUUUUUUUAUUUUAUAAAUAUCUAUUUUUCUAAAAACUCUACUAAUAUUGAAUAUGUUACUAUAAAUAUAUGAGAAAUUAUUUGAUAUAAUAUCAAUGGAGCUUUUAGACUCCACAAGGGUUGACAAUUGUCCUAUAGGGUUGUAGUAAAAUAUUAAAAAAAAUAAACAUUUAAAAAAAAAAGACACUUGUCAAUUUUUCAAAGCUUCUUGUUGAAUAAAAAAGUAUAUUGGUAAUCUUAUCAUACGUAAUUCUUAAAUAGGAGGAAAAUACAUUUUAGCGCACUCAAACCCACGAUCUCCUACACUAACAAAAAAAUUAAUGCCAAUUAAACUAAGACUCAAUCAACAAAAGAGUGUUAUAUUUUAAACAAAUAUAAAUAACAUAUUUUAAAAAUUUUCGAGAUUCUUAAUUAGAAUUAAAUAUAAAACAAUAUUUAAAACAUAAAUGUAAGAAAAAUAUAUUAAAAUAGCAUUUAAAAUAUUCAAAAUCUUCGAUUUUUUGGUUGUUUUUAACCAUGUUUUAUUUUUUUUAUUGGCGUCAAAUAUAUAUAAAAAAAUUAAUAACUUUUUAAAUAAGAAUUUAAAUUUUUAUAAACGUUUAACACCUUAAAUUUCUUUUUUGUUUUAAAAAAUUUAAAAAGCAAUAUUUAAAUUUUUUUAUUAAAGUUACGUAUGAAACAAAUUUAAUCUUAAAUGUACAAAAAUUUUCGCAUUUAAAGUUUAAUUUAAAGCCGCCUAAACAAUAAUUAUGUUAUUGAUAAAGUGGUUUUUGUUAUAAAUAAUAUUUUAUUAUGAAUGUUAACUCUCAAACUUGUAACUUUUAAUGUAUGAGUGUAAUUAAGCCUCUUUGUAACUUAAUAGAUUGUAUUAUAUUAGAAGGUCUGUAACCUUUAAAAUAUAGGAAGUUAGUUGAAAUAGCUAAAAGAGAAAUAAACUUUAGUCUUGAUGGAUAAGUAAUUUGUAUAUUUUUUAGAGGUCUUUUUAGGUUCAAACCAUAUCUCUCUCCUUUUUCUUUUUUCUUUUUUAGCAACUUAAGAUAAAAGUCAUACUAAAAUAAAUAUUAUUUAAAGUAGAAGUUAAACAAGAAAUAGGCCAUGGCCUAAUCAAAUUUUACAUAUUUUGCUGUUGAAAUUAUUUUGCUUACCAUAUCAAACCAAUUCCUGUUAAAUUGAUUCUCUACCGAUUGUUGAAAUUCUACAUCGAUAACCUUCGUAAUUCCAACAAGUGCGGUAAGUGCAUCCCGAUCUAAAGUCUAGGACCCCAAAUUUCAUAGAAUUUCUAUACAAUAUUGAUCUUUCAAACCAAUUAGCCAAUCUUUCAUGGUUCUUAACAAAUCUUUCAUUAAUAUCAUUGAAUCUUGGUAAAUCUCAGAAAACAAAUGUUAACCCGUGUGAAAUUAUCGUUUGAAGGACUCGUUUUAGGUGCAUCAGACCAGAUUUGAGCGCGAAGAACGUUGAUUAGACCUCCGACAAAAGAUAUGUGUUCUUUUACAAGCGAAUCGAGGCAAACUGUGCCUAGGAUUAAGGCUACACGGUCUGCCACACGUGUGGGCCACACAACCAUGUGCCAUGGAAAUCCUAGUGUCGUCCAUGAACCACACGGCCGUGCAGGUUUGGCCACACAACCAUGUGACCCUUGUUUUUACAAAUUUUUUAGUUUGCCUGAAAAAUUAUGAUAUAUUCAAUGUAGCCCCUGAUUAGUUCUCGAAAGGUUUUUAGAGCUUUAUUUAAUUCAAUUGAGUCCUUGAUUAUAUGGAUAAUGAUGGAAUCCAAGAUCUGAUUGUUGAAAUUAUUACUGUAUAUUCAUGAUAUGUAAAUAUUACGUGUCUACUGUCAACGAAUUUAUGAUGAACUGCCAUUGUUGUUUCCACCACUGUAUUACUGAUUGCAUGAUAUUCAUGCCUAUUGCUACCGUUAGGCCGAACACAUGAUAAGCAAGAUAUUGGUGUUGUUAUGAUCUGUUAUAAAGCAUGACAAUUACUACUAUAUAUAUUUGUUAUAAGCAUGAUUAUUGCUAUCGUACUGAUCUGUUAUAGCAUGAUUACUACUGUAUAUGCAUGAUAUGUAAAUAUAUGCUUUUUUGUACAAAGUUAAUUUUAGGUGAACUAUAGCGACCCGAUAGUCGCGGGUGUCAAAAAAUGCAUUACUGGGACUCCGUUUUCGUAAAUCAGAUUCGUAAAUAUUUAUUAAAAAUAUUUACGAAGCUAGUUGUGAAGUGAAUUAGGUUUCGGUUAAGUGAAUUUCCAUGAAUUAAGAGUAAUUAGGUAUAAGGACUAAAUUGUAUAAAUGGUGGAAGUUGAAUUGUAGAUUAAAGAAAAAGUAAAAGGACUAAAAAAGCAAUUAUGCCAUUAUCUUAAAAUGAGGCGGCAUAAGGUGAAAAUUAAUAUAAAAUUUAAAGUUAAAAUAUAUAUUAUAAUAGAUUUACUUAAUAUUUCAGUAUAUAUAUUAUAUUAUAAUAACAAAAAAUAAAUAAAAGAAAAAAAAAGAAUUAGAAACAGAGACAAAGCAAGAACGAAGUAGAAAAGAAAGAAAGAGAGAAAAAAGAAAAGGGAGAAAGAAGGAGACGAAGGCUUUGGGGGCUUCAAAAAUUUAAAGUUCAAUUGGUUAGUUAAUUUAGUCAAUUUUUCUUGUAAUUUUAUGUUUUUGGAAUCCCGGUGUUAAAUACUACCCGACUCAUGCCAAAAUUUUAGAAAUUAUUGAGUUUUUAAGUGUUGUUAAUGUUGAAUAAUUUUAGUAUUAGGGAUUAAAUUGAUAGAUUUUUAAGCUAGAAAUGAAAAAGGAUUAAAUUGUAGAAUAAAUUGUAAAUUUUGAGAAAUAGGGACUAAAUUGCAAAAAAUCAAAAAUUAGGGAUUUUAAGUGAAAAUAGGGAGUUAAAUUUAGUCUAAAGUGGAAUUUCAUGAAAUAAAGAAUUAAAUGUGAAGAAUAAAAGUUAGUCUCGGUUUAGGGACUAAAUUGGAAUUUAGGAAAAUAUUGAAUAAAAAAAUUAAAAUAUUCAAUAUGAAAUUGAAUUGUGUUGUAUUGAUGAAUUUUAAUUAUUUUAAUUCCGUAGCUAAAGUCGUACUGGAAUCUUCAACUAAAAAGGGAAAGGAUAAAAUCGACGAGGAAUAGCUCAGAAUUUUCGGUUUGUAUUUCUAUAAUCCGAACUUAGUUAUUAAUUGUUGUAUUUUUGAUUUAAUGCAUAUCGUAAGUAUUGAGAUGAGUAUUUGACACUCUGUCAUUGAAUUGAAUUUAAGUUAAUUGAAUGGAUUGAAUUGGUAUAUAUAAAUUGAAUAUAUUGAUUAUUUGAAUUGAAAUGAAUAUUGGUUGUAUUUGAUAAGUGAAUUGAAACCCUAUUAACUGUAUCAGGCUGAGUGGGAUAUAGAUGGCAUGCCAUAGGAUUGGAAGAGUUCAGGAAUUUUUCGACUUUGAGUCGAUGAGACACUGGGUGUCAAUUUAUUACUUCGGAUUUAUUCGAUGAGACACUGUGUGCCAAUUUAUUUCGGUUUAACCGAUGAGACACCGGGUGUCAAUUUACUACUUUAAAUUAUCCGAUAAGGCACUGGGUGCCAAACUGGUGUGCUUAGUUAGAUCCUUGUAUCCGUCCGAGUCCGAGUCAUGUUAAUAGGGGUAAUUAAUUGAAAUGACACUGUGAUUGAUAUUAGAUGAUAUUGUAUGUGAAAUGAUUGAGACACAUGAAUUGUGUAUUCAUGAAUUGGAUAUGGAAUGAAUAAUAUUGUUGUUUAAAUGAUAUGUGUAUCAUAUUGUGAAAAGUUAUUAUAUAGCAAAUGAUUAGAAUUGAGUAUGGUAUGAAUGAUGUAUUUAUGAAUUGAACAUUGAAUGACUAAUGUCAUUGUAUGAAUAAAUGUGGUUUUUAAUAUUCAAUUGUACUUAUAAUUAAAAUGUGCAUAUUAUAUUAUCUUGUCUUUAAAUAUUCAGAUUAUAAAAAUACCACUGAGUUUUACUUAGCGUAUGGUUUUGUUUUUCGUGCGCAGGUUAGGUACUUAAUUUUAAUCUCCGAUUCAACAUCCAACAACGAUCCUGAACUCAAAUGUGGUUAUGUUUAUCCUUUUGAAAUGUGUCGGCAUGUACCUAAAGUGUCUAAAUAAUAAUUAUUUAUCCAUACUUUGAAAAAUAACAUGAGGUAGGAUGUAUGAACUACGACCCAAGAGAGCAUGAAUGGUCAUUAAUUACAACUACAGAGAUCACAACGCCAUAAAACCAAUGACAACUUGAGCACUCGAGCUGCGAACUGUCAAAUUGGAUAGCAUAACAGGCACCAUAACUUAACCAAAUGCCCAACUUAAUAGUUUGUUUGAAACACAUACCAUCUCCUUGUCUAGAUUAAAAACACUUAACAACCUUCGGUUAAGAUGAAAAUUUGAUGAACUUUACAACCUAUACUUAAAAAAUCAAUUCUCAGGACACUAAAUAUACAGAAAAAUAAGCUAAUAACCUUAUUUUAACUACACCAAGCUAACCUAAACAAUCAUAUUCCCUAAGAAAUAUAGAGCUAUACGAUUUUUUUUAAUGAAACCCUCACUUUAUUUUACAAGCAAUAACUUUAACGUGAAAGAAACGGUGGAAAAUAAAAAAAAAAAAAACUUGAUCACAAUUUCGAAGAAACCCAAAUCAGGUUGAACAAAAUGAAAUCACACUAGAUGAUCAAAAUAAUAUAUAUAAAAACAACAUCAAUCGAUCAAAGAUUCAAAUAAGCUUUUCAAAACCCUAACUGAAUUAGGGGAAAAAAAAGAGAGUAAAGGAGGGAUUUUUUUGGGCAUACCUGAAAACAUUAGAAGAUGCAUUGAUUGGCCGAGUGGGCCAAGAAAAUCCGGAAUAAGGUCCGUUAGGGGCAGGGAUAUCAUUGAUCAAGGUUGCAUAAUCAAAGCUAGACCAAUAAUUGGUGUUUUCAGGUGAUACCAUUCUCCACUGAAUUUGCUUUUAGCCGGAAAGUUGGAAGGGUUUGGUUUGAUUUCCGGCUUUUGGCAAAGAAAAUGGAGUUUCUGUUUGGCAAAGAGAAAACUAAAAACAAAGGGCGGGGGGAACACAGAGGAUUGGUGGCAGGGGACGGGCAUUAGCA